UCGGAAGCACGGAGCCUUCCGUGCUUCUAGCUCGUUUUCGAUGUUGCGACUUUCGAAUCGUCGAUCGGCUCCGUUAAACUUGAUCUAGAAUAUUUGAAGUACCUAGAAAAUAAAUUUUAUGAUUUUUCGAUAUCAUUUGCCUAGUGAACGAGGGGGCUCAAAAUCAACGGCCGAAAAUAAAAAUUUUACAAAAUGUAAUAAUAUGAUAUUAAAAUUUUAAAUCAAAGAUAUUGAUCUUGUUUUAUAUAGUAUAAAGAAUUUUCUAUCAAAAUUUCACGUGAUUUAGAUAUUUUUACAUCGUUAAACUUGCAAAUGGCUCACUACGGCCAUUGAAAUUUGUUGAUUUUGAGCCCAUUCGAUCACUAGGCAAAUGAUAUAAAAAAAUAAUAAAAUUUAUUUUCUAGAUACUUCAAAUACUCUAGAUCAAAUUUAACGGAGCCGAUCGACGAUUCGAAAGUCGCAACAUCAAAAACGAGCUGAAAGCACGGAAGGCUCCGUGCUUCCGAUAGCAUAGUAGCCUCACUCUAUAUAUAUAUAGGCUAGGACUACUGUACUCAUAAGAGUAUAGAAUACUUUGUACUCGUAAGUUUUCGGUUGUUCGGAUGAAAAAAUGUACAGUUAGGAUGAGAGAGGUUACGGUUAGGUUGAUAGUGGGCCCCCUAGGGUUGACUGAGUAGUUGGUUGAAUAGUAUAAUCUAACGGAUAAAAAUGAUUCAAAGGUAGAUCUAACGGCUAAACACUUAUGAGUACAAUAAACUCUAUACUCAUAAGAGUAUAGUAGCCGGACUAUAUAUAUAUAUAUAUAGAGUCCGGCUAUGGUGCUUGUAAAAGUACCAAGCACUUGGUGCUUGUAAAUUUUUUACCGUUAGAUCUCUAACUUUGAUCAUUUUUACCCGUUAGAUUAUACUAUUCAACCAACCACCUACUCAACCCUAGGGGUCACAUCAUCCUAACCACACAUUCUUUAAUCCAAGGGCCGAAAACUUACAAGCACCAAUAACUUGGUAUUUUUAAAAGUAUAGGAGCUCAAUUCUAUAUGAGUCCGGCUAUGGUGCUUGUAAAAGUACCAAGCACUUGGUGCUUGUAAAUUUUUUACCGUUAGAUUUCUACCUUUGAUCAUUUUUAUCCGUUAGAUUAUACUAUUCAACCAACCACCCACUCAACCCUAAGGGGCCACAUUAUCCCAACCGCACAUCCUUUAAUCCAAGGGCCGAAUACUUACAAGCACCAAUGACUUAGUACUUUUAAAAGCAUAGGAGCUCAAUUCAUAUAUAUAUAUAUAUAUAUAUAUAUAUGUAUUAUUGUUAAUUUGUGGGUGAUCAUAUUCUUCAUUAACUGCUGCAGUUGAAACUGCAGCCAAUUUGGAUGUAGUUCCAACUACAGUAUUUGGACCUUCUUGUGCAGUUGCAACUGCAGUAGUUGGACUCAACUGCACUAAAUCAAACAUAGGAAUUGAGGUUGCACGCAUUUGUAACUGCACUGCAGUUGCAAAUGCGUGCAACCAAACAGCCCAUUAUAGACGAAGCGUGGAGCAGAGCGGGGGUGAGCGAAUUUACUCUUUUGACCUUGUGGGCGGGGUAAAUUUACGAACGAUAUUCCGGGCGCAUCCGAAUAUCAUGAGCCCUUCGGCUUGGAGGGUGUCGGAAGCCGUGUGAUCGGGAUCCGACGGUUGGUGAAGCGCGGGUUCACGCGAUCGUGGAUUCAUUUCAACUUCGGGUUAUACACUUUAACAUCUUUUUUACAACAAAAAGGGGGCGUUUGGUUCCUCGUAAAAAUGGUCAGAAAAUUUUUUUUUCAGUUGAAAAUUAUUUUUCUAGCGUUUGGUUUGACGUUUUUUACAGAUUCUAUGGAAAAGCUUGCCUUUCGUUUUCCGCCAAGAAUCGGCUGAAAACGAAAACUCACCAUGGAAAAAUCGCGGCUCAUGUUUUCCUUGCAUCGGGUCCACGAGCUCAUGUAAGAGCUCGUGGACCGAGGUGAGUGGUCCACACUGGACCACUCACCUAUAUAUAUAUNCAGGUUAUACACUUUAACAUCUCUUUUACAACGAUAAGGGUAAAUUUUUUGAAUGCCCUCCUAUAAAACUACUAUCUCAUCAACACCCCUACAAAGUUCAAAAAUCACCAAUACCCUUGUAACAACUAAAAUUUUUCCCUUAAAAUAUAUUCUCCAUUGGUCCUAUUAGUAAAAAUUCAUUCAAAUUAAGUGGAUUAUAUAUAAAAUUCAAAUUUUACUCCCUACAAGAUAAAAUCAUAGUAAAAAGUUGGCUUAAAUUACAAAAAAAUCUUCUUAUAAAUAUUCAUUUCUUUACUUUUUCUAUCUAACUGUCAAAAGCCUAUAUUUUACCCUCAAUAUUUCAAAUUGUUGCAUUUAGCUCCCCUUCGUCAUAAUUUAUACCAAAAAUACAUUUCAAAAUUACAAAAAUAUACUAAAAUUUAUUUUUUAAUAUAAGAAAUAAAUAUAAUUUUGUCAUUUUGUCCUCUCUAUUAAUAUUGUACCCUCCUAAAAAUAUUUUUAAAAUUUUAAGAAAAUAAAAUAUAAUUUUUUGAAAAUCAGAAAGAAAAAAAUAAAAAAAUGAAUAUUUACAAGAAAUUUUAUGCUUUUUAGUUUAAAAACUUAUAUUAGAUGUGCAUAUUUAUAAUUUUAAAAUAUAAACAAAUAAAAAUUAUAGAUUACACAUUUAAUAAAGAAUUGAAAUAUUGUACUAUAAACUGUAAAAUAAAAAAAUAAAACAACAUAUAUUAAUAAAUUUUUUUCCCUAGUUGUAGUAGUUGAGGGUAAAAUUGUUAUUUUAUCGAGCUCACUAGUGUUUAACUCUCUUUUACUAGAUAAGGUGUACUAGUAAUAAAUUCAUAUAUUUAGAGGAGUACGCACGAUAUUUUGAUUUCUAAAGAUAUUCAUGAAAUUUUAAAAUUUUAAAGUGGUAUGUUUGAAAUUAUCUCUAAUUUAUAGCAUUUUCCAUUUAUAAGACAUUUGUCAAUUUAAUUUUUAAGUUAAGUUCUACAAUAUAAUUUAAUUAAUUAAGUGAUGGUAUGAUGAUUGAUAACAUAAAAAUAAAAAUAAAUAAAUAAAUAAAUAAAUAAAUAAAUAUAUAUAUAUAUAUAUAUAUAUAUAUAUAUAUAUAAAGCAGGACUUGAUUAUAAUAAUAUAAAAUAUUUGCGUCAAAAAUUAUAUUAAAUUAUAAAAAAAUUUUGUAAAUAUUCGCUUUUCGUUCUUUCUUCCGCAGUAUCAUAAACCUAAAUUUUGUUCUUUUAAAAUUUAAAAAAUAUUUUCAGAGGGUACGAUUUUAAUUGGGAGGGUAAAAUGACAAAAUUGCCGGCGAAAUUGCCCUUACUUUUUUGUAAGAAAAAAUUAAUUUUUGAAUAAAUUUUUAUUGUUUUGAAAAGUAUUUUCUUCAUAAAUUAUAAAAAAAAUGAGCGAAAUAGUAAUGAAAUCCUGACGAAGGGGAAUUAAAUGCAACAACUUAAAAAUGUUGAGAGAGUAAAAUAUAAAUUUUUAAAAGUUACGGAGGAAAAAGUAAAUAAUCGAGUAUUUAUAGGAGAAUUUUUUAUAAUUUAGGCAAAAAAUUAUAAUAGAUUAAAAUUGGAAAACCGAAGUAUUAUAAUAGUUUUAUAGUUUGCGGAUCAAAAGUGUAAUUUAGUCAAAACAGAAGUUGGUCGAUGUAACAAAAUAACUAAAGUUGAGGGGGGCUCCAUACAUUUUCACCUAAAUAAUUUGUGGCGACGUGGCCACGCCCCGCGGAGAGAGAAGCGGUAGCGGCGAUGGCCCGAAACGAGAAGCGGAAGCGGGAGCGGGAGCGGGCCCUGUCAAACCCUCCAAACCCUACCCUUCCCAUCUCCAGGCGCCUCCGCCGCCCCCUCCCCCUCGCUCCGGCGACCCCCGCGGCGGCGGAGGGGGUCGGCGGCGGCGGCGCCUCCUCCUCCUCCGCCGGCGCGCCGUCGGCCGCCGCCGCCUCCUCCUCCGCCGGCGCGCCGUCGGUGGUGAUCGUCACGGGGAUCCCCGGCGACUGCACGGUGCUGGAGCUCAAGUCCCGCCUCGAGAUCUACGGGCCCGUCGCCCGCACCCGCGUCGACGCCGCCGAUGGCGUGGGGUACGUCACCUUCCGCUCCGCCGCCGCCGCCGACGCCGCCGUCGCCGCCUCCCUCGACCCCGCCCGCGGCGUCGCCAUCCGAUCCAAGAAGGUUUCGUUCCCUAUCCUCUCCCUCAAUUCGGCUCUUUCUUUGAUUUAGGGUUUAGUUUCUACCCUUCUAAUUGAGAUCUUGUGAUUUUGGGCGGUGCUUUUUGAGAAAACCACCUCGAAAUUGGUGGCAAAGGAUCACCUCUGGUGCUCUAUUUUCAAAGAAAUUGAUACAUACCAAAUGAUCUAAAAAGGUCUCUUUCCUUUCCUCUUUUCUUGAUUUAGGGUUUAUUUUCUAGCCUACUAAUUGCGAUCUUUCUGAAAUAAGGGAGGUUUUUAAGAAGCCACUUCGAAAUUAGCGGUAAAGGGAUCACCUUUGGUACUCUAUUAAAAGAAUUGGUAGAUACCAAAUGAUCCUAGAUGGGACUUAUUUUUUUAAUGUUUUAAUCCUUUUUUUUUCUUUCCCUCUCUAGGGCAUGAAUCUGUUUUAGGUUUAGUUUUUACCCUGCUAAUUGAGAUCUGUUGAAAAGGGGAAAUUUGGGAACUGAUCAUUUGGAGAUUAUUGGGGAAAAAAAGGCACCUUUCAUACUCUGCUAAAAUAUUAGAAGCUGGAUUUGGAACUUGAACCCAUGUGAUCAUGAAAAUAGAAGGCCUAAUUUUUGUGUUUUGGAUGAUCUUAAGGUGGUUUGAUUACAGUUUCAAUGAAAUUCAGCUAUUGUUUGCAGCUUACAAUUUGUGGUCAAGUGUAAAUUCAUAAUGAAUAUAUAUACAUGCAAAUACUUAUGAAAAUCAUUUAUGAUGAAGUUAAAAUCGGUGUCCCCCGGAUGUAAAAAAAUUGAAGUUCGGUAAUUACAUGAAUUUACUUUGAUUCUAGUGAGCAAUGGUGUAACUUGCUCCUUUCCAAAAUGGGUGUCGAAUACCAGCAUACUUAUGGCACAGGGUUUUCUGGACAAUAAGCCACUGUAAUGUAGUUAAGCUGCAAGUGGUCCUUUCAUAAUCUAAGCUAAAACGUUUGCCGUAUGAAAUGCUCUUACUUGCAGAGCUUGAGAAUUGUUUGAAGUAGGUCUAUUGCUCUUUACUGAUUCUAGUUGUCAAAAGAGUGUACCAUUACUGUAGGGAUCAAAUAAGAAGCCUCUCGGAUGGCCAGCAGCGAAUCUAGGAAUGACAGAAAUAAGAAACAACUGAAACAUUAAUGACGUAUCAUGCUACAGUGCAGUGAACACUUGGCAGCAGUUGAAAACUACUAUUCUUCUUCCUGUUGAAACUACUGUGGAAUCUUAGUGGCUGAUUAAGAUUUUUUAAAGGGGUCAAUUUGCUGUAAUGAGGAAACCUUAUACGCAGAACAGUUCUAACAAUCUCUUUAGUCAAAUUGCUAUAAUAAGAAAGCCUGUUAUGCUGAAUAAGAAUUCAUUAAUCUGUUUUGUAACUAUGUCUUCAACUUUGUCUUGGUUGUUAUCUAUUAAUUGAAACUCAUCCAUGGUCGCCAAAGAAGAUUAAUGCUUUGAUCUACAAUAUUUGGAUUUUUCUACAUAUAGACCACACAUUUUUUUUCAUAAAGAUGACUAUCGAUGUUUGGAUCAUAGAAUGGUAAAUCUUUGUAUAUGGGUUGUUUGUUCAAUAGAUUGGUUUCAAAGGGAUGCUGAACUUUUAGGCAGUGUUUGGCUCGGGAUUUCUAUUCUCAAGAUAGAUAAAACUAUCCCUCGGAGGUAUGUUUUUGUGUUAAACGAGGUUUGUUUUUGUGUUAAACCUAUUGUGUUAAAGGGAUAGUGGGAAUUAGUUGGGAUAGAGGCUUAGUUGUGGAAACAGCAUAGUUCUAUCAUAAACUAUGGAGUUGUUAUUCCAGGGGAUAGACUUGUCACGAAUAUAGUUCCCCAUUUAAUUCCAUACUGGGAUAGCGUAUGCCACCAUUUUACUUGGAGUUGUAGGAAUAUCUACCAUUAUCCCUACUCUAUUCUCCAACCAAACAAUGCCUUAGGCAGUAUUUAUUUGAGGAUUUUUAUGUCGAGGAUAGUGAGAAAUAUCUCAAGGCAAUGUUUGGUUGGAGAAUAAAGUGGUGAUUGUGGUAAAUAUCUCAUUAUCCUGGAGAAUAAAGUGGUGAUUGUGGUAAAUAUCUCAUUAUUCACCAGACACAAUAGCACAAAUGCUAUCCCCACUUGGAAUCAAAGGCCUAUUUGGAUGGCACAAUAAGUUAUCUUGGCUACAAGAUGAUUUAUUUCAUUUGUGAAAAAUGACAUAGAGGUUAAAUAUAGUAUAUUGUUGUUGACGUCUAAGCGUACUGCUUAUAUGUAGAUUAUUGCAGGCUCCUUGAUUAAGCAGGAGGAAUUAGAAUAAAAUAUUCAUGCACCCAAAUAGACUUUGUGGAAGAUAUUCCCAUAGCAAGUUUGUCUCAGGGGACAGCAAUUCCAUGGGAUAUGAUGGAAUUGUGCUAUCCCUACGGCUAGUCUUUUAUUCCAACUAAUUUACAUUAUUCCGAGUUAAACACAAUGAGGUUAGUAUUAUGAACACAAAUCCUUAUUAGGAAUGUUUUUGCUAGUUUGAGAAUAAAAAUCCCUAGUUCAAACACCACCUAAAUGUGUUUUGAAUGGCGCACCCAGAGCAUGUGACGUAAUGGGAAUCGGGUAUUUUUCAAUGGCGCACCAAGGAUGGGAAUUUGAUUGCAAAAUGUAAGCAAAUACUAAUUUUUUCCGAGUCAAGACUUCAAGGACUAACUCAGAUCACUGCAGAGGUGUAGGGACUAUCCAUACAUUUGAUCGGAUAAAAAUCUGUCUUCUAUUUUCUGCCCCAGAUAUCACAUUCAUAGCAGGGCUAGAAUGUGCACAAAAUUAAGUUUUACCAAACAGUUCAAACAAGUAUGGAAACAAUUUGACCACUGUGAGUUGACAUUUUGGGCCUUUUUUUCCCCCCAAUGUAGGUGUUUGUGGUGCGGGCAAGCGAUCCUUUGCAACAAUGGAAAACCGGAGUUGGGGCGUCUCCUUCCCUGUCGAAGCUUCUUCGGCGAGAAACGCCAUUGAGCAAGCACGGACGGAGUAAUAAGAAACUGAAUCCAAACACGACUAUUCCAAGCGAGCAAAGGGAGCCGGACUUGUCUUUCAAAGGAAGGGAAAUAGUUGCAUAUGAUGAUCUCUUUUAAGUUUGAACUCUCUCUUGUUUAUCAGGACUCCCUUUGGUUGCUGCAUGGCCUUGUGUUAUGUUUCUUAGCUCUAGGUAUUGUCAACCAAAUUUUUGGUGUAGUAUUUUCAUGUGUUUUUUAUGUCCUUUAGAUGUGUUAAGUAGAGAUGUUGCUUGGAUACUGUUGCUGUAAAAGUAAUUAAUAUAUGUGGUUAAAAUGGUUGGUUAAUUAAAUGCUUUUAGUAAACCCCGCGAAGUGUCACUUUGGUACCUACAAUUUUGUUGUUGUUUCGCCAUAAAACACGCCGAUAACUCAAUAUAGUAAAGUGAUACAAUUUACAAGCAUAAAGUGCUACACUUUAUGAAUAUGGAGUUAAAAUACAUCAUAUUAGUAGACACUAAUUUUUAUUUUACUCCCAUGUGGUUCGUAAAUUAUAUCAAUUUACUAUACUAUUUACCGACAAGGUAUCAAAUAACACUUCUCAAGACACAUUUGAUAGAAAAAAUUUUCAUUUCUUCAGUUCCAUGUAUCUUACUUCUUCACCAGAAUCGUCUCCGGUUAGUUCCGGUUUAAUAUCGACUUAAACCGCCUCUCGCUUUUAUGUAAAAGUGAGAUAUUCGUACGCAUGACAUCCCUACUUUGUGCAACAGGAGAAUCUAACAACUGCAGAUGCAACAAAUGCAUGUCUUGGUUUUGUGCAAUUAAGUUCCUUGGUACUGGUACUGCUGACCCGACAUUGCAUAUCUGCACUUGCUGCUAGUACCUGUUCUCAGCUUUGGAUUCCAAGAAGUGGACCAAAAACAUGAGCCAAAGCAAUUGAAAGAAGCCUUAGUAAAGUGUUAGUAUUAUUUCUUGGGAACUGGGUUCAAUUGUUCCACCACCUUCUAAAAAUACUUUCUCUUGAGUCUCUAAACAUGACCAUAUGUGGUUUAAAAUGUAUCAAGUUAGUGUCAUGUUGUUUUAUUUUUAUCUUUUCAUCAAUUUUUUCGUUAAUAUUUCGUUACAUUAUAUAUAAAAAAAUUUCAGAUGCCCCAUCUAAGUUUAUCGAAUAUUCACUUUAGUGCCCUUUAGUUUUAACUUUGUCACUAAUUUAACGUAAAAAAUUAGUGGAAUAGAAAAUAAAAAAAUAAAAAUAAAAUCACGGGAUACUAAAUUGAUACACUUUAAACCAUAGGGUAUUAAAGUAAGAAAGUGUGAAACUAUAUGGGUGGUAUUUGAAGUUUUUUCAAAAAAAAUUUCAGUGGGUAGUUGUUUCUGAACCACGCUUUAUUGAGGAACCUCCAAUUCGCUGUUAUGUGUCAGUUUUAUUUUCUAUUUAAGAAUUAUAAUUUUUCUUUUCACUAAGAUACAAACUUUCAUUUAAAUUUUCGCAUUAAAAAAGUACCUAACAAAUUUUUGAACGGAGACAAAACUAACACAUGACACCGGAGUUGUUGGGUUAAUUGCACCACUAGCCCUGAAGUUUUGCCAAAGUUUCAUUUCAGUCCUAUUCUAUGAAAGGAAGCUUAGUUUUUGUGUCAAUUUGGCCUAUUUCAUCAUCUGAUGUGAAGCUUAUGGAUAGUAAUUCAAUAUUUUCUGACAAAAAAUUUGACAUCAAAAAUUUCUUUCCACCUGAAAAGAGUAUUUGGUGUUGCAAUGGGCUUUUAUUCUAGAAAAGAUCAGUAAAAAUCAACAUAAGAUAACAAAAUGGACCAAUUUUGGUAUAUUUGUAAAAAGUUUAGAAUGCUUUAAAAGUUCAAUUUUGAUAAAAAUUUUGCGGCUACAAAUACAAUUUAACCCUUUUUUUUGCCAAAUUGAAAGGAGACCCCUCAACUAAAGAUUAUUUUAAAAUCAAUCCUUGUACAAUUUUUACUACCCUUUUUCAAGUCCUAGAAGUUUUCAAGGAGUGCUUUGGGAAGUCGUAAUUUAGUAGAGCCUUUUUUCUCUGGUGUAGUGUGCAAUUCUAUUUUUAUAUUCCAAAAUCAUUCCCAAAUUUUUAGAUGUAUUAAGGAACCCACAAUUUCUUUUUUCUUUUAGAUAGAGUUACAUAUAUACCCCUCCGAAAUUAUUUAUUUGCCAAUGGUGAGUUGUAAAUUUUGUAAUUUCAUGCCAACCCUUCAGAAACUCGCUUAUUACAUUUAUCGCCUUGGAAAGCUUAAUUUUCAUAUAGGUAAACUUGAAAUUGAUAGCUGAUCUUUUGUUUUCUUUUCUUUUGUUUUUGUUUUUUUUUUAGAUUGAGACCCCCUCAACUUUUCAAUUUUGGAAUUAACUAAUUUUAGUUUGAAAAAUUGGAAAUUCACUCAAAUUCGUUGGUGAUUUCAUAAAAAAUUUAAUAGCUUUAGUUAUAUUUUAUUAAGAAUAGUUAGACUAAUUAAUAAUUGAUAACUUAUGGAGAGCCGUUAAAUUUGAUAAAUUUUUUAGGUAUAAAGGCUCAAAUAAAGAAUGUUGAGGAUCGCGUCGUCUUUACACGAGUUUAGAUUAAGAUUAAGAUUCUAAUUUUCUUUCAACUUUUCACCUCACCCAGUUAUAGAGUUGACAAUCUAACUUAUUGUUUACAAGUCAAUUUAUGUUCGACUCGUUAAUAAACAAACUAAACACAGACUAAAUUUUUCAGCUCGAUAUUUUAACGAGCCAGCUCGUGCUUGGCACGUUUAACAAACGAGUGAACACGAGCCGGCCUCAGAUCGCUGGUUCGGCUAGUUGACAACCCUAGUCAAAUUGGUAAAAGUGAGAAUACAUAGGUUCAUCCUAAUAAAAGAAGCAUCAUUUGUACACAAUCAUACCCCUGAUANCAUUGCAUAUCUGCACUUGCUGCUAGUACCUGUUCUCAGCUUUGGAUUCCAAGAAGUGGACCAAAAACAUGAGCCAAAGCAAUUGAAAGAAGCCUUAGUAAAGUGUUAGUAUUAUUUCUUGGGAACUGGGUUCAAUUGUUCCACCACCUUCUAAAAAUACUUUCUCUUGAGUCUCUAAACAUGACUGUCUGUGGUUUAAAAUGUAUCAAAUUAGUGUCCUGUGGUUUUAUUUUUAUCUUUUCAUCAAUUUUUUCGUUAAUAUUUCGUUAUAUUAUAUAUAAAAAAACUUCAGAUGCCCCAUCUACGUUUAUCGAAUAUUCACUUUAGCGCCAUUUAGUUUUAACUUUGUCACUAAUUUAACGUAAAAAAUUUGUGGAAUAGAAAAUAAAAAGAUAAAAAUAAAACCACGGGGCACUAAAUUGAUACACUUUAAACCACAGGGUACUAAAGUAAGAAAAUGUAAAACUACAGGAGUGGUAUUUGAAGUUUUUUCAAAAAAAAUUUCAGUGGGCAGUUGUUUCUGAACCACGCUUUAUGGAGGAACCUCCGAUCCGCUGUUAUGUGUCAGUUUUAUUUUCUAUUUAAGAAUUAUAAUUUUACUUUUCUCUAAUAUACAAACUUUCAUUUAAAUUUUCGCAUUAAAAAAGUACCUAACAAAUUUUUGAACGGAGACAAAACUAACACGGGACACCGGAGUUGUUGGGUUAAUUGCACCACUAGCCCUGAAGUUUUGCCAGAGUUUCAUUUCAGUCCUAUUCUAUCUAUUCUAUGAAAGGAAGCUUAGUUUUUGUGUCAAUUUGGCCUAUUUCAUCAUCUGAUGUGAAGUUUAUGGAUAGUAAUUCAAUAUUUUCUGAUAAAAAAUUUGACAUCAAAAAUUUCUUUCCACCUGAAAAGAAUAUUUGGUGUUGCAAUGGGCUUUUAUUCUAGAAAAGAUCAGUAAAAUCAACAUAAGAUAACAAAAUGGACCAAUUUUGGUAUAUUUGUAAAAAGUUUAGAAUGCUUUAAAUUUGUUUUACAAGAAUAGGAUGCAAAGUUCAAUUUUGAUAAAAAUUUUGCGGCUACAAAUACAAUUUAACCCUUUUUUUGCCAAAUUGAAAGGAGACCCCUCAACUAAAGAUUAUUUUAAAAUCAAUCCUUGUACAAUUUUUACUACUCUUUUUCAAGUCCUAGAAGUUUUCAAGGAGUCCUUUGGGGAGUCGUAAUUUAGUAGAGCCUUUUUUCUCUGGUGAAGUGUGCAAUUCUAUUUUUAUAUUCCAAAAUCAUUCCCAAAUUUUUAGAUGUAUCAAGGAACCCACAAUUUCUUUUUUCUUUUAGAUAGAGUUACAUAUAUACCCCUCCAAAAUUAUUUAUUUGCCAAUGGUGAGUUGUAAAAUUUGUAAUUUCAUGCCAACCCUUCAGAAACUCGCGUGUUACAUUUAUCGCCUUGGAAAGCUUAAUUUUCAUAUAGGUAAACUUGAAAUUGACAGCUGAUCUUUUGUUUUUUUUUUCUUUUUAGAUUGAGACCCCCUCAACUUUUCAAUUUUGGAAUUAACUAAUUUUAGUUUGAAAAAUUGGAAAUUCACUCAAAUUCGUUGGUGAUUUCAUAAAAAAUUUAAUAGCUUUAGUUAUAUUUUAUUAAGAAUAGUUAGACUAAUUAAUAAUUGAUAACUUAUGGAGAGCCGUUAAAUUUGAUAAAUUUUUUAGGUAUAAAGGCUCAAAUAAAGAAUGUUGAGGAUCGCGUCGUCUUUACACGAGUUUAGACUAAGAUUAAGAUUCUAAUUUUCUUUCAACUUUUCACCUCACCCCGUUAUAGAGCUGACAAUCUAACUUAUUGUUUACAAGUCAAUUUAUGUUCGACUCGUUAAUAAACAAACUAAACACAGACUAAAUUUUUCAGCUCGAUAUUUUAACGAGCCAGCUCGUGCUUGGCAUGUUUAACAAACGAGUGAACACGAGCCGGCCUCAGAUUGCUGGUGUUCGGCUAGUUGACAACCCUAGUCAAAUUGGUAAAAGUGAGAAUACAUAGGUUCAUCCUAAUAAAAGAAGCAUCAUUUGUACACAAUCAUACCACCCCUGAUAAUACAUAUAGUAAAAACUAGAGGGGGUGAAAAAAAACACAUUCCCAAAAUUACAAAAAUCCCAAGUUGGGAUUAAAAUAAGUGUUUUCAAGUUCAUAAAGCAGUGUAAUAGUUAAUAUAUCUACAAUAUGCUACUCUCUUAGCUCUUAAAAAAAAAAGAAGAAGAAGAAAUGUUCCUUCAAAGUUUAGAUAUCCAAGUGAGGUUCAUAGAAAUCAUUCAUGAAGGGUGACAAGAUCUCCUCCUCCAGCAUCUUCAGCACCCGACUCAUCGCCGGCCGAUCCUCGGGGCUCGCGGCCGUGCACAUGGCGGCAAUGUCGAGGAUCGCUUCGACCGCCUCGGCCUCUACGCUUCCGCAUCUCUCGUCGACGAUUUCCUCGAGCCGGUGCUCUCCCGUCAACGUGUUCAGCUGCGACAAUUUGAAAACCACAUUUGGCGCAACAAAGUCAUUAGUUCUCUUUUCUUUUUCUUUUUUUUUUCCUUUCCCUAAUCACCGUAAGAGGGCUCGAACUGUAACGACUGAAAGAUUGGGGACGCAAAUUUAAGGGCCGUGUUGCAAUUUAGUCGCGAAUAAGAAAAGAAUAUAGAGAGGACUAUGUAGUUACAUACCCAGCCAACUAUGUUCAAGCCUUUUUUGACAAAUGAGGGGUCCGUAGGCCUCUUUCCGGUUACCAGCUCUAGCAAGAGAACCCCGAAACUGUACACAUCCGACUUCUCGGUCGCGCGUCCGUUUUGUAGAUAUUCUGCCAUAUUUGGAGCGAUUUGCAACGAGUCAAAUUAGAGUUAACGGCAUUUUCUAGUGAGAGGUAUGGCGACGAGCAAUCAAUCGAAAACUUCAAAUUAGAGCUUCUGGUUCUGGAAUUGAGAAGCUCAUUUUGGAUUCUUAUUGCAAUUUGAAAAUCAUUCAUGAAUGAACCGCGAUUGCCUGAAUUUUCUAACAUUUUAAUAUGAGAACUAUAAGAAAGGCUCAAAAUUACUACCGUACCUGGUGCGAGGUAACCGAAAGUACCGGCGACCACGGUGGUAACAUGAGCAUCUUCGUCCACGAGAAGCUUGGCGAGGCCAAAGUCCGACACGUGGGGCUCGAGGCUCAUGUCGAGAAGUAUAUUGCUCGAUUUGAUGUCCCGGUGAACUAUCGCGGGGGAGCAAUCAUGGUGCAAGUACGCCAGUCCUCGGGCAGAGCCAAGCGCGAUCUUCAUUCGCGCAUUCCAAUUCAGCGGCUGCUCUUCUUGGCCGCUCUCUGAAAUUAAAGGUGCAACGUGAAAAUUUUGCCGAAAACUUCGAUAGUUGUAUCACAGGAAAAUUGAAACAUAAGAAUAAUUUGUCGAUAACUUAGAGAACUACCGAAGCGAUGUUUUUUUUGAGAGAUAGGUAACACGCUACCCGCUUCGUUUAUUUCAUUUAGAAAUAAACUUAGCUGGAAAUGUGAAUCAACUAGGAUUCGAACUUGGAACCUCGGGUACCAACCAUCAAGCCCUUUGCCACUUGCUCUAGGGACAGUCUGUAACUACCGAAGCGAUGUUAUUCUUAGAGGAAGCGAUGAGCACAAAAUUGCAUCUUAUUACACAUCCACCGCGUAAGUUACAAGAUAAAUUUCGCGUUUAUAGGUAGUUCUUGGAUAGAAAACAAAGUUGUAGGAGCUUACCAUGAAGAUAUUGAUCUAAACUCCCCAAGGCCACGUAAUCGUAAAUGAGAAGCUUCGCGGAGGGUAGCCUACAAUAACCUCGCAAGUUGACGAGGUUGAUGUGUUUGAUGCUUCCUAGAAUCUCGAGCUCCCUCUCGAAAAUCUGAUCGGACCCAUCGUGGUUCCGAUCGAUCCUCUUUACGGCAAAUACACUACUAUCGUCCAUCAUCAUCUUGUACACCGUACCGAACCCGCCAGACCCGACCACAUCAUCCUCGUCGAGCAAUUCGAGCUGUUUGAUUAUCUCGCUUGAUGUGUAGGGGAGGUUCCCAUGAAAAGUCACAAGCUUAGCGCCUAAUGAAAGACGAACCAAAAUUAAAUUAGAGAAGUUUUGAAUAUCUUGCAAAGUAUGAAUUUUCACAUGUGCCGAUUGAAAAGCUUUGGUUCCUCGGAAAAGCAUGAAAACUGUUCCUAGAAACCAAACAGACGAAAAAAAUACUUUUUCAGCUAGAAAACUAUUUUCUGGAAUAUUUUUUGGGAUACCGGACACCCCCACCUCUUUAGAAAAUUUUCUUAUAAAACCCGCUUUCGACUUUGAGUUGGCUGACUCGCCAACUUACAAUAAGUAUUUUUUUUUUUUGCACAAGAAACUGCACUUCUAAGGAUAUACAUGAAAAUAAAGAUACGAGCGCUUGUAGUUAAAUAGAAUAUUCGACAUGAUUAUUUAUGUAAGAGCACAUUUAGUUCAUAUGUAGCUUAUUACCGACAUCAUGAGCAAGCUGCUUAUCCAUUUUUACAUAUCUUCUGCCGAGACCACCACCCUUUCUCGCGAGCAAACAUACCCAAAGGAACCCCAGAAGUGCUACGAAUGCGAGGGCCAUUGUCGACAUCGAACCGAUAAUAAUCCCGUUGAGAAAAUGCGACGGUGUUUUUUCACUAGGGAUCGAUGAGAUUCCUAAAGGUUUAAUUGCACGAACGAAAUUGAAACCUCAAUUAGUAACACACAGAUUCUUUUAUUUUUAUUUUGUGGUGAAAUACUAGCAUCUCAUAAUAGAAACCGACCUGGUGCUGUAAGCGACUCGGAGUGCGGCAGUACUGCAGGAAACCCUAGUCGAUCGCGACAUAUUUUCUGAAUUUGCGUUNAUAUAUAUAUAUAUAUAUAUAUAUAUAUAUAUAUAUAUAUAUAUAUAUAUAUAUAUAUAUAUAUAUAUAUAUAUAUAUAUAUAUAUAUAUAUAUAUAUAUAUUUUUAAGAUACUUUUGUACUAAUUCCAGUUUAAUUCACAAAGAAGUGACUAAGUUUUACAGGGAAGACGAGUGAGCACAGAGGGGGGGCCGACUUACGAGCUACUUCCGAGAGUUUUAAGCACUCCAACAUUCGGGAUCUCGCCAGAGAGGAAGUUGGUCGACAGGUUCCUGCGGCGAAACGCAAGAAAGUUAGAUCACAUUUACUAGCAAAAUCAGUCAGCGCAAAUAAACAAAAUAGCAGGACCGAUAGAACAGCUCACAGAAAUCUCAAAUGGGCGAGGCCGCCGAUCGAGGGCGGUACCACCCCCCUCAGCAAAUUACUCGACAAGUCCCUAAAAUUUCAACACUAAGAUCAUCAACAAACCAUCCAAAUUAACUAACAAAUAGAAAAAGGCCGAUGGUUUCGGAAGCAACAUACAGGAUGGUUAGAUGAGUGAGGUCCCCGAUCUCGGGAGGGAUACCGCCUUGAAGGUAAUUAGCUCGCAAAUAACUACAAAAGAUAAAAUUCAUGGAUGAAUAAUAAAUGGAAAUUUUAAAAAUAAAAGUAAAAAAAAAAAAAGAGGAGAAAAAUGUGAAAUGAAGAUAUACAUUGCUCUUAGCUCAGUACAGUUCUUGAUCUCAGAAGGGAUGGGCCCAUGCAAGCUAUUCUGAUGAAGAGCCCUAUCGCAAGACACAGAUCGAAAACCAGGAUAAAUUAAGGUGAGAUUUUGAGUUGUUAGAACCACAUAAAAAACUGUAAAAACUAACAAAAAGGAAGGUCUUAUAAAAAUGAAACAAAAUUAUGUAAUAAAUGAGAAAAAAAACAACUAUGUGGUGUGCAUUCAUAGAAUCACAAGACACACAUGAAAACUAGGAGAAAGAUGAGAUUUUGACAUGUUAGAACUACAUAAAAACAGUAAAAACUAACAAAUAAAAAAAAAGUCCUUAUAAAAAUAAAACAAAUAUAUGUAAUAAAUGAAGGAAGAAAAAAAUUCAUAUAGUCACAAGACACACAUAGAAAACCAGGAUAAAGGUGAAAUUUUGACCUGUUAAAAUAUAUAUAAAAACAGUGAAAUCUAACAAAUAAAAAAAUCCUAUGAAGAUAAAACAAAAUUAUGUAGUAAAUUUUUUUUUUAAAAAAAAACUAUAUGGUGUGCAUUAAUAUAGAAUCACAAGACACACAUGGAAAACUAGGAUAAAGAUGAGAUUUUGACCUGUUAAAAACCACAUAAAAACAGUAAAAACUAAUAAAUAAAAAAGAUCCUACAAAAAUAAAACAAAAAUAUGUAAUAAAUGAAAAAAAAAAAGCUAUAUGUGUGCAUUUAUAUAGUCACAAGACACACAUAGAAAACUAGGAUUAAAGGUGAGAUUUUGACCUGUUAACAGUUCACACCACAUAAAGAGUAUAAAAACCAACUAAAACACAAAAUAGAAAUAUGUAAUAAAUGUUAAAAAAACAAAAAACUAUAUGGUGUGCACUCAUACAGUCUCUGGAGCCUCUGGAGCUUGCCAAUGCUGGGAGAAAUAAUACCUCCAAGCUGCAUAUAUGGCAGAUUACUGCAACAAAAUUACCAAUCAAUGAGAAAAUAACAAAACUUAAUGAAAAUAACAAAAAUUUAAAAAAAAUAUAUAGGCCAUUUUGAAAUAGACCCCUCAACUUUUGUUUCCAUCUAUUAAAUUAAUGAUUUUUUGCUAAAAAUUAACAGUGAUUCUGUUGAAUUUAACUGUUGUAAACACUUUUCUUAAAAGUAAACUCCUGAGCACUUUUUCAACUUCAAAACAGCUAUGUCAAUAAACAAAAGUAAAGGGAGGUUUCCAUUGAUUAAAGAAAAAAAAAAAGAGUUACUCACAUGGAUUGGACUCUAAAAUGAGGGAAAGAGCAUGAAAUCCCAAUCCAUCCACAGGGAUGUGGGUCAGUUUCUCUCCAACUCCCCAGCAUUUGCUUUGUGUCAUUGAAACCAUAUUUUAGCUCCAGGAGCACCUCACCUGUAUAUACACAUAACCACCAAAAAUUUUUUUUAAAAAAAACACAAAUAUAAUAGGAAAAUAUACAGUUAAAGAGUAAGGAGUGAGUAAAUAAAAAUACCAUCUUGGUUCAAGGAGAGGGAAGGGGAGGAGAGGAGAGCCAUGGAGAGAACACAAGCUAAGAGAGUUGAAGCACAGUAGUAGCCCAUUUGAGGAGAGUGGUUUUUUUUGGUUGGGGAUGGAUGAGGAGUUUACGAGUAGCAGAGAAGAGAGAAGAGAGAGAGAGAGAGAGAGAGAGAGUAAAGAGAUGAGAGAGGGUUGAGUGCAAUGAAUUAUGGGGGAGUGUACUAAUUAUGAAGGGGCAACCGUGAGAGAGAGAGAGAGAGAGAGAGAGGGGGCAAAAUUGGAAGAAUCUAUUGAGUGGACCUGGUUCACCAUUUGCCGGUGUCUUGAAAUAUUUUUCUGCUUAGAAAUUUAAUAGACACGGUCUCCUGCAGUGAGUUCAUUUAAGGGGGCGUUUGUUUUGCAGUAUUGAAAAAAAUUAAGGGUUUGUUUGGUUCAUCCAUUUUGGGUAUGAAAUGAAAAUCGGUUUGAUCAAAUUCGAUUAAUUUUGUUUGGUUCGUAUGAAUCAGUUUGGGAUUCCUAUUCCGGACUGAAAUGUGAAUGGCCCAUUAGUCUUCAACUUGAUUCCGAUCUUCUAGCCCGGAUUGAGAUUUCAUUCCGGAAGCCCACUAAGUCCUCGAAGCCCAUGUGACCAUCUCACCCUCCUUCUCUUCACCCCUUUCUCAUCAAAAAAAAAAAAAAUCUAUCCUCUCUCAAAACCCUAUCCCUAACCCACAUCAAUAAAAAUUUUUAAAAAUAAAUUUGAUAUUUUUUUUGAAAAAACUUAUUAGAGAAUAGUAUUAUAUUUUUCAUAAAUUUUAAAUAAUAUAAAUUUAUAUUUGAGAGUAAAAUUAGUAUUAUAGUAUUCUAUAAUUUUUUUAGUUUAUACGAACCAAACAAUAAAAUGUGAAUAGCUCAUUCCAAUUCCCAAUGCACAAAUAAACCAAACGUCUUGGAAGAGUGGGCCAUUCCAAUUACCAUUUCAAUUCAUUCCCAUUCCAUUAUUCAUUCCAAUUCCACCCUUAAACCAAACAAGCCCUAAGUGUUUGGUGCUAUUAGUAGCACCCCCAGAUGAACUCUGAUCCAUUUUAAUCUAUGAGCGUGUUUGGUUCGCUUCUUUUUCACCCUGGAAUUGGAAUCGGAAUGGGUGAAUCCGUUUGUGGGUGUUUAUUACGCGGGAGUCCCAUUCCGAUUCCGAUUCCCUAGUGGAAUGGGAAUCCCCCAAUCACCUAUUUAUUCAAUCCGGCCUAGAAGGCCGGAUUGGAAGUUGAAUCCGGACAGAAUGGAUAUUUAUUUCGAUUAAAUUUAUUUUUUCAACUUUUUUAAUUAAAAUAUGAGUUAAAAUUUAAAAAUUAAAUAUAUAAUUUUAAAUUUUAAUUUGAANUAAUAUAAAUUUAUAUUUGAGAGUAAAAUUAGUAUUGUAGUAUUCUAUAAUUUUUUUAGUUUAUACGAACCAAAUAAUGAAAUGUGAAUAACUCAUUCCAAUUCCGAAUCCACAAAUAAACCAAACAUCUUGGGGGAGUGGGUCAUUUCAAUUACCAUUCCAAUUCAUUCCCAUUUCAUUAUCCAUUCCAAUUCCACCCUUGAACCAAACAAGUCCUAAAAGUUAUGAGUUUUGGCAAUAUAUCUCAUCUCUACUUCACUGUAGUUAUGAGUUGAGUUUGUCAGUCUCCUCCAAAUACUCGUGCUUACAGUUCGAUAAGGAGAGAGAAUUCCUCGCGUGGGAUUGGAUGAAACAGUAACAUCAUAAGUCUAUUUGUUUAUUAUGUAAAACACACAAAUCUCAAAAUAAUGUAAAUAGUUCUCACUUUAGUAUUUUUAUAAUUUAAAAUGUAUAACUUUGUAUUAUGUGAUUUUCUUAAUUUUCUCUUUUCCUUAGCUAUUCUAUUAAUUUCUCUAUUAAAGCAUAUUGACAAAACUUCAAAAUACCCUAUUUUGGUUUACUAAUUUUUCACUUUAAUACCAAUAAUUUAAUAAAAAUGUUAACAAAGUAGGUAACCAAAAGAAAAAAAAAUGACAUCACAUGAUGCUAAAGUGAUAUACCUUGAACCAUAAUGUAUUAACUAGUAAAGUUAUCAGCGCAUUGCGGCCGGCUGAUGCUAUAAGAGACAGAAGAUUGACAAAGUAAAAUAUUUUAAAAUUUGUUCACUUGUCAUGAGAAAUCAAUAAAUACAAAUAAAAGCUAUGAAAUAGAUAUAGCAAAAUUUAAAAUUUCAGCAAAUAAAUUACACGUAAUAAUAAUAAAAAAACAGCAAUAAAACACUACUCCAUACGCACCUUCCACUUCUCAUUCAUUGCUAUUGUCAGUGUCGAGUUCCUCUUUAAUCACGACAACAUAUAUUUUAUUUUAUUUGUUUUUUUUAUAAAAUUGAUUUGUUUAGAUGACAAUAAAUGUGAACAUAUUAAUUAAUAAAUGGACACGUGGAAGACGUAACAUCACGCGGAGAUAAAAGAUAAUAAAUUCGAUCAUCAGGAAUAAGGAAGAAGGCAAGGAUGGGAGAAGAAGACGAGGAUGAAGGAGGCUUUAUCAUGUGGCAAAGUUUAUGAGGAAUAAUGUAUAGGUAUAUAGAUUAUUAAAAUAGAAAGUCUCCAACUAUAAAAAAGGUAUUUGAGAACUUUUGAAAAAAAGUUUUGCUUAGCAUUACUAAGAUCUUAAAAUGAAAUUUUAUAUUUGCUAGAUAUGAUUUAUCAAGACUUUGUUUCAUAUGAUUAUUUUUUUGUUUUUUCUAUUUUUAUGUUUAAAUUAUAGGUGAUCGAACAUAUGAACUUUUUUAUUCUUGUUAUUACUAUUUACCUGCAAUAUAUUAAAAUAAGAGGAAAAAAAGUUAUCACUAAAUUUCGUCUUCGGUUGCCAAACAUAUUUUGGAAUAUUAGAGAUUUUAAACAAUUUAUUGUUAAUUGACACACUCAAUCACAUAAAAAUCUAUAUAUAAUAAUGUUAAAAAAUAAUAAUAAUAAAAAUACUAAAAAAUUAUAAUUAUGUAAAAAAUUAUUUAUGUUAAAACACAUGAUAUUUCAACCUCACGGUUAUAAUUUUAAAAUUUUAAAUCUAACUUUAAAAAUUAUGAUAAAAUUUUUUUACCUCCUCUGCUGACGUGGUGGACCGGGUUCACCAGCCAAAAUUUUCUCUGUCUGAGGGGACAGAGUACGAAUACGUUGGCAAUCGUGCGGAGGGGCUUUUUUGUCCGAGAAAUUGAGAAAUUAGAAAAUACAAAUUUUAGCCGUUGGUGGGUAGGGGGUGGAUUCGAAGAUUUCAAAAAAGCGGCCUCGGGACACGCAUCCUCUCCACCCGGCACUCGCACGUGCGAACGAGGCCAACGGGAGCGGAGACCGGCACGUGUGUAUAGGUUUUUUAAAAAAUAAAACAACAAUAAUGACAAACUAUUAACCUAUAUUUAUUCUGGGGUUAAUUACGUACUCAUUCCUGCAAAUAUGGUGAAUUACAGAUAUAUUUCUACAAAACUCAAUUUUCAUAAGUUGUUCCUGCAAAAGUUCUAAUGUAUUCAAAUAUAUCCCUCUGGUUAGAAUCUGUUAGGAAACUGCUAAUCUUUUAAUAGUAUGUUCGUGAAAUGAGCUUUUUGUCCUCACAAAUAUAUCCCUCCGAAAGUAUUUUCUCUUUCUCUUUCUCUCCCUCUUCGGGCUGCCGGAGCGGAUAGCGGCGGCGGCACUUCGGCAAGGUCGGGGUCGGGGUCGGGGUCGGGUUUGCCGGCGGCGAAGAAGAGGGAAGAGAAAGAAUGAGAGGAAAAAGAAGAGGGAAGAGGAAGAAUGAGAGGAAGAGGGAGAGGAAGAGGAAGAAGGAGAGGGUUCGCCACCGCCGCCGCAUCUUCUCUCUUGUGGGCGACGAAGAAGAGGGAAGAGGAAGAAGGAGAGGAAGAAGAAGGGAGAAGAGAAAGAGAGAGAGGAAGAGGGAGAGGGUUCGCCGCCGCCGCCACAUCUCCUCCCUCGCCGGCAACGAAGAAGAAGGAAGAGGAAGAGGAAGAGGAAGAAGAAAGGGGAAAAGGAAAGGGAGAGGAAGAGGAAAGAGGAAAAGGAAGAGGGAGAGGGUUCGCCGCCGCCACAUCUCCUCCUUCGCCGGCGACGAAGAAGAGGGAAGAGAGAGGGAGAGAAGAAGAAGAGAAUAAAAACAUUUCACUUAUUAAUUAAUCAUGGUUAAGUAUUUUAACUGUGGUUAAUGAAAUUUCUCUAAUCGAAACUAACGGCAGUGACAUAUUUGAAUACAUUAGGACUUUUGUAGGGACAACUUAUGAAAAUUGAACUUUGCAGGGAUAUAUCUGUAAUUCACCAUGUUUGUAGGGACACGUAUACAAUUAACCCUUUUUUUUUUUUUCACGCAGUAAAUUUUUCGUCACUUCCACUAGUGUUUUAAAUCAUUAUUUUUUUCUUUACCAAACUUCUAAUUAAUGUUUCGCUGUCAUCUACAACUCUCACAUCUCUGUCUCUAAUUAAUUCAUCAUUACUUUUAAUUAAUACAUCUAAAUCUAUAAUCCUCAUCUCUUCAUCUUUAAUUAAUUCAUCAAUACACUGCCGCCCUCUCUCACUAAUGCACGCCUACCUCCCCUCUUCGCUGCGGCCGAAGGAAUUGUCGUCGUUGUUACUAUCACCGUCGCCGAAGAAGGCGUCGUCUCGAGCCCAUCCCCGCCGCCAACAGUGAGAGACUUUUGGUGAGUGUGGCAAAUGAGUUGCACAACAAAAUGCUUGAUGUUCUUUUAGUAAUAAUUAAUCCUACAAUUUCUAUCCACUACGAAGCAUGAUCGCCUUACUCGCUGAAAUUCUGACUUUUAUUUACCAACUCAUUCUUAAAAUUAAGAAAAAAGUUAAAACACAGAAAGCUUUUUGUAAAUAAUUUUUUAGUUUCACUUUUUUGACUUCGAAAAGUAUAUAUUUUAUCUUCUUAAAAUUUUAUAAAUAGAGAGUUAUGGUGUUAAUAAAGAGGACAAAAUUACUAAAUUACCCAUACUUAUUCUAUAAAAAAGUACUAUUUUAAUAUAUUAUUAUUAUUAUGUUAAAGGGUAUUUCGAUAUAAAAUAUAAAAAGUACUUUGUUAAUAUAUUAUUAUUAUUAUUUUAAAGAGUAUUUUAAUAUAAAAUAUAAAAAAUAGAGAUCAGCUUGAAAUUUUGAGGGAGUAAAAUAUGAUUUUUUUUAAGUUUGUUUGGGGUUGGUAGUGAAGUAAAAAAUCAGAUAAAGAAUGCGUAGUUUUGAAAUAUAGUAUAAUCUGCCGAUCUUGCUUUUACUUUUACUCAUAAAAGGUAAAUAAUUUUUUUUUUAAGCUUUAAUGACAGUUCAAUUUGUAAUUUUAUUUAAAAAAUAUAGUCAAUUAAAAUCUUACAUAAAGUUUAGAAGGGUUAAUUGUUGUAAAUUUUAAUAUUUAUGAGGUUAUUUGACAAUGCUUAAAGUAUUAGAACCGUUUUUACAUUUUAAAAAAGAAAAAUGCCACCUGGUAUAGUGGUAUAUUUUAUUUUAUACCCUCCAAAGCAAUGGUUCACAAAAUUUUAUUUUUGAAAUUUCAGUAAAAAAGAAAAAAAAAUAAAGUGAAUAAAAAUGGGAGCAGGUAAAUUUUACGUCUAUGCUAUAGAGUGUAUGGAUAGAAUUACUAUUUAAAAAAAAACAAAAUAAAAAAGUUGGCCUUUAUUUAGAAAGAUCUAUGAUUAGGAUCUUUUUAUUUUAAAUACACAAUUCAUUUUGAUUUAACAACACUUUUAUUUUGAAAUUUGGCUUAAAAUCUCAUCCAAUUUGGUUUAAUUUCGAACACAUUAUAUUGUUCAAAAUUCGGGUAUGGAUCGAAUCCAAAGACAAUAAGCACUAUUUAUUCUAAAUGAUUGUCCAAUCCGAUUUUGAUCGGGAUCUAAAUUGUUUGUUGAGCGAAGCGAGAAUUUUGAGAGCAAGAAAUAGAAAUAUGCUGAGUUUCGCAAGUUUGAUUUUGUCGCUUAGAAUCAUAGAGUCAAUCUCUAUAUAAUUAUAAAUGAGGAGAAUUUUUUUCCAAAUAAAUUCUUAAAAAAUUUAUAAUUCAUCAAAUAACUCUAUAAAAAUUUUAUUUAGCUAAAUAAUUUUAUUUUAUCUAAUUCACUGUUAAGAUGAAAGAACAAUUAAAAAACAAUAAAUCAUUCAUCGUUUUUAUUAAAAUCUAAAAAAUAGUAAACGAUUCAUCGUCUUUUUUUUAGGAAAAAAAAUUGUAAAUAAUUACCUUUUUUUUUUUCAAUCUAAAAAAAACUGUGAACGAUUUACCUUUUUUUUCAAUUUUUUUUCCAAUCGUGCAGUAAGUUAGAAAUUAUUUGACCAAAUAAAAGUUUAAAAAAUUAAUUUUUUUGAAAAACUUUAACUAAAAGUUUGAAUGAUUUCACAACUUUGAUAUCCACACACAAAGAAAAAGAAAAAAAAAAAAAGAAGAAGAAAAAAACAGAGAAAAAACUGAACUGAUACUUGGGUGCUUCCGCACAUGACGCGGCGCACCGCGUCCAAACGACAAACUACGACGAACCCAAUCCAUUCGGUCAAAUCCCCUACACCCGAACCCGAACCCAAACCCGAACCCGAACCCCUCUCUCUCUCUCUCUCUCUCUCUCUCUCUCUCUCUCUCCCCCUCAGAUCCGCAUCGAACAAAAAAAAAUAUAUAUAAAAAAAAGAAAAAGAAAAAUCAUUCGGACGACGAGGAAGACGAAGAAGAAGGGGCGAACGAGGGAAUUCGAAACCCUCGCACCCCAAUCACACCUCCGAUCUCGAUCGGCCCCCACCCCCGCAACAAUGGCGCCGGAUGCCGCCGCCGAGGACGAGGAUAAGUGGCUCGCCGAGGGCGUCGCCGGGAUCCAGCACAACGCCUUCUACAUGCACCGCUCCCUCGUAUGAAAACCCUAAACCUAAUCUCCGAUGCUUAUCCCUUUGUAAUUAUUGAUGAUGUUGUUGUUGAUAGGAUUCGAACAAUCUGAAGGAAGCCCUCAAGUUCUCGGCGCAGAUGCUCUCGGAGCUGCGAACGUCGCGGCUCUCGCCACACAAGUACUACGAGCUGUGUAGGCGAUUCUCUCUCUAAAGCUCUUCCUAGGUACCUAAUUAGAUGAUGAUUUUGGUGUUUGGGGGUUCUGAUGGUGUGGUUGAAUUCCUCGUUAGAUAUGCGCGCGUUUGAUGAGUUGAGGAAGCUGGAGUUGUUCUUCAGGGAGGAGACCUCGCGCGGGAACUGCUCGGUCGUCGAUCUCUACGAGCUCGUGCAGCACGCUGGCAACGUCUUGCCGAGGCUGUAAGCUUUAGAAAUCGUUCCCUUUCGCUUUUAGUAUUGUAUGGAUACUUGGGUGUCUGAUUAUAUUCUUAGAUUCUUAUUGUAUUGUGUAUAUCUUCUGGGUCUGUGUUUGUUUUCUUUCUGUUGAUAUAGAUAUUGUCUCUUUCCUUUGAAGAAAGAAGAGAAAAAAUAAUGACAAAAUUGAACUGAAAUUUGAAAAUUUGAUCUUUAGUUUGUUUUGUAUAGAUAUUGUCAUAAAAUGUCCUUUCAUUUUCAAGACAAGAAGAAGAGAAAAUAAUGACAACAGAUUUGGAUUCAAAAUUUGACUGUUCUUUGUGUGGUGAAAAUAUCGUUUCUUUCAUGUCUUUUCUUUUCAAGAAGAAGAAGAAGAAUGGCAAAUGAUUUGGAUUGAAAUCUGUUGUCAUUAUUUUCUCUUCUUCUUCUUCUUCUUCUUCUUCUUCUUCUUCUUCUUCGGAAUAAAGACAUCUCACAAUAAUAUUUUUUACCAAACAAACAAAAGCUCAAANAAAAUUUGACUGUUCUUUGUGUGGUGAAAAUAUCGUUUCUUUCAUGUCUUUUCUUUUCAAGAAGAAGAAGAAGAAUGGCAAAUGAUUUGGAUUGAAAUUUGAAAUUUUGAGCUUUUGUUUGUUUGGUAAAAAAUAUUAUUGUGAGAUGUCUUUAUUCCGAAGAAGAAGAAGAAGAAGAAGAAGAAGAAGAAGAAGAAGAAGAGGAAGAAGAACAAUGGCAACAAUUUUGGGUUAAAAUUUGAAAGUUUGACCUUUUCAUGGUUGAUGAUUGUUUUUUAUAUGGAAUUACAAAAGAAGGAAAGACACAAUUUUAUGAACUAUCAAAAGUCUUUUUGCGUAUACUUGAUGCAGUCAGUUUAAACCGGCAAAGUAAAAGUUCAAAACAAAGGUACACACAGAAAAAUCUAUUGCUUAAGACUUUUAUAUUUGAAGUUCAAUGUGUUUGUUAUCAGGUACCUUCUCUGCACAGUGGGAUCUGUAUAUAUAAAAUCAAAAGAGGCUCCUGCAAAGGAUUUGCUUAAAGAUCUUGUGGAAAUGUGCCGUGGUGUUCAACAUCCUCUUCGUGGGCUUUUCCUAAGAAGUUACCUCUCUCAGAUUAGCAGGGACAAGUUGCCAGAUAUUGGUUCUGAGUACGAAGGGUAAAUAUAUAUUAUCUAUGCUAUAAGGUCCAACUAAUCAACUUUCACUGGCAAUAGCCUGUUAAUAGAGUUCGUCUUUUGUUUCAGCCUGUCAUAGAUGCAGACGUACAUAUAUGAUGUCUAGUACUCGAUUAAUCAGUGAAGUUCUUUGUUAUAUGCCAUACAGCUCAUUCCAACUAUAUAUUUCUGGUCUCAAAUUUAAGUCUGAAAGUUUAGGAGUUUGGCAGUGCUUAUAUUUUACAAGGGACUCUUGUAGGAUCAUCUUGUCAUAUAUCAUUGAGCAAUACUAGUGCAAGUUUGAGAUGCAUUUCUUCCUCCAUUUCUUUUGACCUUAGAUGACGCUAACCAAAUAAUAAUUUAGUAGCUGUUUUGCAUGAUUGUUGUUAUCUAUUCUAAAUUUUUAUUUCAUUAUCUUACAUUUUUCAUUUUGCAGGGAUGCUGACACUGUUAAUGAUGCUGUUGAGUUCGUUCUUCAAAAUUUCAUUGAGAUGAAUAAACUCUGGGUUAGAAUGCAGCAUCAGGUUGGUUGAAUUGUCAGAUAUUUCACGUGCUGUUUGUUUAUAUGUAUAGAAUCCCAGUACAUGCGUCCAUAUACUUGGGCGUGUUUUGUACCAUAAAAGUACUUGUAGUUAUGUAGGUAUUUUAGUGAUUGGGAAUUAUUGAUACUUUUAGGUGAUCCUGAGUUGAGACUAGGAAUCGGACUUUCUCGUCUGCAGGGACCUUUUCGGGAAAAAGAGAAGCGGGAAAAGGAAAGGAACGAACUUCGUGAUCUUGUAAUAUCGCCAUCUUUCAAUUAAAUAAUUCCGCCAAAGCAUCACAGUAUAAGUUUUUCACAUCUUCCUUUACGAUUUUGUUUUGGGUGAUUUUCUUCUAGGUGGGCAAAAAUCUUCAUGUUCUAAGUCAGAUAGAGGGUGUUGACCUUGAUAUGUACAAAGAAUCUGUUCUUCCCAGGGUGUUGGAGCAGGUUAGCUUAUUAAUGCUUCGUUUGCAUGGAGAGAAUAUGAGAGAAAUGAAGAGAAAAGAAAAGGAGAGAAAAGAAAAGAAAAAGAAGUAAUUUUUUCUUUCUGAUGUUUGGAUUAAGGGACAAAAAGAUGAGAAAAUAACGUUCUUUUUCCUUUCUGUCCCUUUAUCUCCACUUUUGGAGAGAAAGAUUAACCUUUUAUGGAAGGUCAUUUUCUCUCUGUUUGUCAACAUUUCUAUUCUUUUCUCUCUUCAAGUUUCAAUCCAAAUGAGACAAAAUUAAUUGUUUUCUCCUUUCUCCUAAUUUUCUUUUCUAUUCUCUCCGUUUCUCUCUAUCCAAACGAGUUUAAAGAGCUGAAAAUUUUUUCCAAUAUAGCACACCUCACAAAUCUUAUUAAUUUGUUGGCAGGUUGUCAAUUGUAAAGAUGAGCUUGCUCAAUUCUACUUGAUGGAUUGCAUAAUUCAAGUUUUUCCAGAUGAAUACCAUUUACAAACUCUUGAAACAUUACUAAGUGCAUGUCCUCAGCUUCAGGUAGGUAACUUUUUUUUUUUCACAAUUUUGCAUAGAUCUUUUUCUUCUUCGCCUAAAUGAGAUCUAAUGUAGGAUUGUUUUCGUAGAAGCCUUGUAGGUGAUAGGGUUAGCUUUGAUCAAGAAAUAGGGUCGAGAAGGUGUUGAAAUCCUUAAUUAUAGAAGUGAAUGAACUCUCUCCAGCAAUUAUAGCUGUAACUGAGUCUGAAAAGUUAUGCUGCAUGACAGCUGCAUCAUCAAAAAAGCAGCUGCAGCGAUGAAGGGCUGCUAUCGCAGCCGCAACAUCCUGGAGAAGCAGUUGCGGUUGCUGUAAGCUGCAGCAACACAGUAGAGGGAGAGGGGGCACAGCACCUUUGUCGCAGAGAGAAGAGACGGCAGGGUUCUAGGGGAGAACAAGAAGAAGAGAGGAGGAGAAGAGGGCGGCAGCAGCUUCUGUGCAGCCGCGGCAUCCUGGAGAAGCAGUUGCGGGUGCCGUAAGCUGCAGCAACAGAGUAGAGGGAGAGGGGGCACAGCACCUUUAUCUCAGAAAGAAGAGACUGCAGAGUGUAGGGGAGAACAUGAAGUAGAGAGCAGGAGAAGAGGGCGGUAGCAGCUUCUGCAAUAGGGAGAGGGAAGCGCUGGAAACAGGGUGGGGGAGGCAUAGACGUAUAUCUCAAUCAAGCUUUUACUAAUCCAUAUAACCUGAAUGGCAAGAUCAUCUAGGACCUUAAAUAGGCAUUUAUGCCCAAUUUCAAUCAAUUAAGAAGACCUGAGUUUUAGGUAUUUGAUCCUACAUCAUAAAGAGAUGAGAAAGAGAUCAAACUAAAUACCUAAUUAACUUAUUCACUUUCAUAAUGAGAUCACAAUGAAGAUUCCAAAUUAAGUCUAAAUAAAUCUAACCCACAUAGACAUGAAUUGAACUGAAAACGUAUCCAAUUGUAACUUGAACUGAAUUCCUAGCCAAAUUGGAGAACUAAUUGACUCCAAUAAGACCACUUAAAGCUAAGACCUAUGGAACAGUUCUACGCCAAGAUCGCUUUGUGGGACAGUUCUGCAUCAAGACCUCAUUUAGUAGUGAUUUAUUUGUUAGUCACUUGCUCUUUGUUUCUUCCGAAAUUUGUCUUGAUUGAUAUGGAGAAUUUACAAAGAGCCUUUAUUUCUUUGUUCUCUUUGCAGCCAACUGUUGAUAUUAAAACAGUGCUAUCUCAACUUAUGGACAGACUUUCAAAUUAUGCAGCUUCAAGUACAGAAGUGAGUAGCUAUCAUAUUGUUAUCCCAAUGCAUAGCUUGAGAUAUCUUUCUCAUAUGUUCAAAUAAAAUGCAGGUACUUCCAGAAUUCUUGCAAGUUGAAGCUUUUGCAAAACUAAAUAGUGCGAUAGGAAAGGUAAAUUUACUACUUGUGGAUAUAUGUUCUGUUAUGCAUUCAUGGAUAUAUUAAAUUGAAUCUUGGAUCAAUUUACUGUCUCUCGGUAUGUUGUGAUUCAAGCAUGACUGUGUGAGCUCAGAUAUUUAUUGCAUAAUUUUUAUGGCGUCUACCCCUCUGUGUUAUUCUCGUGACUCAUAUAGAGUCAUUAUUGGGUGGUUUAUCUCGGGUUCUGAUCAAGGUUUUUAGGGUUCAGGUCGUUUUUGGUCAAUUCAUAUGGUAGGUGAUUCAGGUUUAACUUCUUUUUGAGUUUUUGAUUAUUUAUCACUUUGGGUUCACAGUUCCUCAGGUUUUGUGUGGUUUGGUUUUGGAUUUCUCAAGGUGUCGGGUUGUUUAGGACCUUCAAGUUUUCACAGCCUCUGAUUUCAGAUCAUUCCUUUCAUAGCUGCCUGAGUUUGGGCCUAUUUUGGGUUGAAUCUGUGGGCUUCCUGACAUUAUUUAGCUUUCAUAUCAUGUUCAAGUUGACUUAGGUUUGUCUUUUUUCUGGAAAUGUUUUGUUUUGAACAUCAUAAAGUUGUCAGUGUUACAAUGCUUUCUGAACAUUGGGUUUGCCUCAUGGCUCGUGUUCAAUAAGCUUGGGUUUGGAUUGCUUUUGGUUUGACUUGUUUGAAGUUUCAGGUGCAUGUCAUUUCAUUUUUGUCUCUCUUAGAUUUUGGUUGAUUAGUUUUAGGACGGGGAGUAGGUUUGGACUUUGGUCAUUAACCUUUCCUUGGGUGAUUAACUUUUCUAUCUUAUGCCCUUUUUAUCUGAUUCCUUAUUUCUCUCCUUAUUGUCCUAUUGUUAAAAUAAAACUAAAUAGUGGAUAGGACUUUUGUCAGUCUGUUCAUGUGAAACAAACCGUUAUACUCUAAAAGCUUAAGCUGUUAGUGAAUGGUGCUUAUAUAUUUUUAUAUUUAACACUACCCCCACGUCUGGGCUCGAGACUUUUUGUUAGGAAGGCCCAUGAUGUGGACUUGAAUUAAAUGGGAGGAAAUUAAUAAUGCUAGGAGUUUGACGUGACUCGAACUCAGGACCUCCUGCUCUGAUACCAUGUGAAACAACCGUUGUACUCUAAAAGUUUAAGCUGUUAGAGAACGGUGUUUAUAUAUUUUUAUAUUUAACAGUUCGGUAUUCUAGGUUUGUGUAGUAUUGACAAUAUUUAAAGGUGUGCUUUUAGUAGGGAUGUCAAUGGAUACUGGGUAUGGAUACCCGAAAUUAUCCAAAUCCGAAUCCAAACCGGGCAGGUUUACCCGAUGCUAAACUGAUAUGGUUUCGGAUACGAGUAUAAAAAGCGAAAUCCGAUAGAUUCGAGAUCAGGUAUGGAUUUUGUUUGUACUCCACAUGAACCUGAACUCGAACCCGACGGAACCUGAAUAUAUUUUACAUUAUAUAAUAUGUAUGAAUGUUUGAUGUUAUACUUGAAUUUGUAUUUUGAAAAAUUUAGAUUUUAAUGUAAUAUGUUUUGAAAUUUGGUAAAGAGAAAUGAUUGUUUCAGGUUUCGGAUUUCGGGUUUUUGUUUGGGAUCGGUUUUGGAUAUGGAUUUUCAAAACUCAUUCGGGUUUCGGUUUUGGUCGUCGGCUUUAGGUUUGGGUUUUUGAAAACCCGCCUCCAAUCUGACCCGUUGACAUCCCUAACUCUUAGGUGGGUUGGUGAAGGGAGGCAUGAGCAUUAGCGUUUGCAGAUCCAGUUUGAAAUGCAUGUCUUUUUUGAACAAGGUAAAAUUGAUGAUACAAUUUUUGACUCUUGAAAGUUAUUUAAGAGUGAAAACGCAAAGGUCUAUCAUCAUUUCUUGUUUUUUUCUUAAUAAAUGAUGGUGUAUUAUUCUUUAUCUCCCAACUUAUAUAAUAUUAUACAUGUUUGCGGAAUUGCGGUUGUAUGUAUCUAGAUCUCUGUAUCUUCUCAUGCUUAUGUACAGCUGUUUGUUCACAUAUAUUUGCUCAAGAACAUGACAUCUCCAUUAAUUCAUUUGUUUUUAAGCUACUUUUAAGUCUAUUUUAUGUUCCUAUGGCAGGUAAUAGAAGCACAGGUUGAUAUGCCAUCUGUAGGAGCGAUAACUCUCUUUGUAUCUCUCCUAACAUUCGCUCUCCGUGUACACCCUGAUCGACUUGAUUAUGUGGAUCAAGUAUUGGUAUGCCUCUUAAAUUUGAGCUUUGCUCUGAAUUUUGAUAUGACUACAGUAAUGUUAUUGAAUUGUUUAUCAUGCUUAUUAUAUAUACAAUAACCACCCAAACAAAUAUUAUUUUCAAAAGUUUGACAUUCAUACAUGUUCAGUACUAAUUAAGUAAUUAUUUAUUAUGAGUUUAAUUGUGAAUUAGGCUUGAAGUCUGAUUCCAAUUUAUUUAACUUCCUUAUUAGUUUCAAGUUCUUUAAUUGUGACCCUAAUUUCAAUUUUAUCCCGUGUUUCAAUUUUAUGAAAUUUAGUCUUUGAAGUUUUGCCCUCAUUUCAGUUUCGUGAUUAGAGUUUCAACUUUAACCAAGCAAAAUGAUAGUUUGUUGUGCCUUUUUUAAGUUGACAGACAAACCAAAGGAUUUAAUUAUUAUGUGGAACAAGAUUCGGGGACUAGAUUCUUUAAAUUGAAAGAACAUAAUUGAGCCGAGGUCAAAUUCGAAUGACUACAUUUGUUAUUUCUUUCAUUAAAUGAUUGUGUAUCGAAUAUAUGACCGGUAGGCAAGCUGGUUGGUGUUUUUGUACUGUUUGAGCUUUUGGAUUUUUUGAUGAUUAUAUCUGAUCCAUGAGAUACUUAUGUGCCAUCCCAAUAUUCCACAGGGAGCAUGUGUCAAGAAACUUUCAGGCAAAGCAAAACUUGAGGAUAGCAAAGCAACCAAGCAAAUUGUCGCACUUCUAAGUGCUCCUUUGGAGAAGUAUAACAGUGUUGUCACUGCAUUAGAACUUCCAAACUAUGCACAGGUUAUGGAUCACCUAGAUAGUGGCACAAACAAAGUGAUGGCUAUGGUUAUUAUCCAAAGCAUCAUGAAGAACACCACCUGUAUAUCAACCGCUGAUAAAGUAUACCACUUUCUCACUUUUUCAGUGUUCAUAGAAAUGCUUUUUCUUCUCAGCCCAUAGUAUUUGUUAUUAUUUUAGGUCGAGGCUCUAUUUGAAUUAAUAAAAGGGCUCAUAAGGGAUAUUGAUGGGGCUCAGGAUGAUGAGGUGAACAUCAAAUUUCCCAAACUGUCUCUUUGAUGUGUUGCAUACUUACAUUACCUUAUUUUAUAUUUACCUUUAUAUUUACCUUUCGUAUCAGUAACUGUCUUUCUUAAUUCCAGCUUGAUGAAGAGGAUUUCAAGGAGGAGCAGAACUCUGUUGCUCGCCUCAUUCACAUAUUGCAUAAUGAUGAUCCUGAUGAGAUGUUGAAGGUAACUGAUGUUUCUAAAGCUUUAUGUUCAUUUGUUUAUUCUGUUCCUAAAGCUUAGGUUCAAUUUUCUAUCUUCAUUGACACUUUUGUGCUUUAUUGGUGCCAAAGCUUAGCAAUUGAAACAACAAAAAGGCUACUUAGCUAUCCUUGUCGCAUAUGUAGAUGACUGUUUACUACAACUAUAAAGUAGGUCGUGAUACAAAUUUAUAUACAACUAUUAGUUAAAGCGGAGAGUGAGAAUGUCUGUCCGAGCUUUCAUCAUGUGGACAAUUUUUUACCUAUUAUAUUAUCAUGUAGCUACACUACAUAAUCUCUUGUUAACUAAUUUGAUAAUGUGAUGUAAAGUGCGAUGUAUACAAUUUCUAGAUUUGGAGAGUGAUAUUUAAUCUAUAAAAAGCCCUUGUCAUUAUCUUUCUUAAAUAUCAUCAAAUAGAUGAAAGAAAAUUUUCUUUUCUUUGGUAGCCACAUUUUCACUUUAUCAUUAUCAUUAUUGAGUUGCUUUAAAUAAAUUAGAGAAAUUCUUGUAUUCUAUAAUAUCCAUAUAUUAAACAAGAUCUUUAUCAUUAUAUUUUCUUGAUUUUCUUUAUAUAAAUGGAUUAUUAUUUUCUCAUAAUCGAUAAAUUCCAAUCAUAUUCAUGUUGUGCAAUGGUGCGUGAUGGUUGACCGGUGCUACUCUAAUGCAGAGCAAGGGCAUUUUGUUUAGUAUCAGGAAAUUGCUGAACUGUUGGAAAGACCCAUUAAAAGGUUUAGGUUCACGUUUUUAAAAAUUGCUACUUCCCCAUGUCUUUUAAAGUAACCCUUGGUUGGCUCAUCGUCUGCGUCUGCUUUUAGUAGUGGUAACUUCUAGUGGAGCGUUUGGCAAAGAGAGCAAUCUGGAGGUUCUGCUGCAGUGAAGCAGAAAUGAGAUUUUGAACCUCAAAAACGAAGCUCUGAUUUGGUAGUUUUCCUUUUACUGCAGAAAGCUGUUGGGGGUAUAUUAAUAUAGUGCUUCUCCUAAAAUCACAAUUUAGGCGGCGGUUCAUCAAACAACACACGUUAUUGUGAGGCCAAAAAGGCUUAGAAAGAUGUCUGACAGUCACAAUGACCUUGUACUGAUACUGUUUUUUCCUUUCAGAUUAUAUGUGCUGUUCAGAAGCAUAUUCUUCUUGGAGGUCCUAAGCGUCUACCUUUUACCGUGCCUCCUUUGGUCUUUUCUGCUCUUAAGGUUUGUUAAAUUAUUCUUCACAUGGUAAAAUAAUUGUUUCAUAUGCUUUGAAUUUAUUCAGCGAAGAUCUCUCUAUAAUUAUCAUUAUCAUGGAUUCAUGGUCAUCAUCAUUAGUACCCACUUCUUCCACUGCUUAAUUAUCAUUUACGAUGCCAUGAUCAUUGGUAUAGACUUCCUUCUUCCGCUGCUUGGAGUUGGCAACUGAGUUUAGACUUAAUAGGCAAUAGUAGUGAGUGGAACUUUGUGCCCAGUCAAUACCAACACAUUUAGGUGUGAGAGUAGCCUGCAGAAAAUGCAUACAGCUAGUCCUUGCUGGAUCUCUUUGGACAAUCCACCAAGACAUCGGAUCUCUUUGGACAAUUCACCAAGACAUCAACCUAUGCUUAAGUGGCAUCAGAAUUCUUCUGCAACCACAGCGAUGCACCCUACACUUUCAGAUGGGCAUGAAAGCUAAGAGUCAAGGGUAUUACUACACUGGGAAUUUUGGUGCUCUUGUGUAAUCGAGAGCCAUUGUGCAAGUUCAGACAGGUUUUAACUGAUUGGGUUGUAUCCACCUUAGUCGAAAGUUUGGUAAUCUUAGGUUGGCCACUAAGAUUGGUAAUCAAAGUUUUAGCUUGUAAUUUCUAGGUGCAUAUAUUAUGCUAGGCUAUAAUAAUACUCCAGUAUGCCUAUCCACUGAUUGUAUUUUAAAAUUAAAGGAAAUUAAUUUUUGUUGAAAAGGAAACUUUUGUGUCGUCAUAUUAGAAAGUAACAUUAACUAAUUAUUUUGCGAACUAGUAAGCUGAAGUAGCUUACUUGGAAAGUUUUGCUAUAAUUUUUCAUGUAUAUUAAACAAAGAUAGGCCUGUGUCGUUUUUUUUUUUCCUUUGCAGCUUGUUAGACGUUUACAGGGUCAGGAUGGAGAUGUGGGAGGAGAAGAGGUCCCUGCGACACCUAAGAAAAUAUUUCAAAUUUUACAUCAGGUUUUCUUCAUGACAUCUGUUGCAUACUCCAUUGAAAUUUGAAUGGAUGAAAGGUAGCUUUACAGUGUAAGGCUAGGCUACUAUUGAUAAGAUUUGAAUGGUAAUACUAUCGAAUUAAAAUCUAUUGAGUCAAAAUUAUUGUGAGGAAAUCUAUAUUGAAGAUACAUACCAUUAAAUCUGAUCCAGAUGAUGUUUAGACACAAAUGUUCACAAAUUUUGGAGCUCUUGACCUAGGUGUCAAGCGGGGUAAAAAACAAGGAGAGUGUAUAUUUAAUAAGUGUCUAUGUACACGACAAUUGAAAAUCAGAGCCACUAGUCUUGAUCUAGACAAUCUAAAAAUGUUUCUACGAAAGUUGAACCAGUCUAGACUGUUAAACUAACAAGUACUUCACAUCGUCUGUGAAACUAUCAAUUUCAAGACAGUCUGAUUUUAAGGUAAAAGAUCUCUAUUAUGACUUGAUACUUCAAAUAGCUAGAUCAUGUCUUAUGUCAUGUAUCUUCAAUAUAAAUGUCCUAACAUUGGUUUUUGACUCAACAUGAUCUGCAUCCAAAUCUUAUUAAUAGCUACCAAACCCAAAUUUCAUAUGUGUGAUGGCUGUAUUUACAAAACUUCAAGUGCUCAAAUCACUUACAGACUAUCGAGGCAUUGUCAUCUGUUCCUUCUCCAGAACUUGCAUUGAGGCUAUACUUGCAAUGUGCGGAGGUGCGUCCAUUUCUCGGCUCCUCUUUUCAUUCUCUUCUGUUCAAUUAUCUGUCAUUAACAACCCACUCUUCUUCAGGCUGCCAAUGAUUGUGAUGUAGAACCUGUUGCAUAUGAGUUUUUCACUCAAGCAUUUGUACUCUAUGAAGAGGAAGUUACUGUAAGUAACUAUGACUUUUUUUUUUUCCAGAGCAUUGUGUAUAAUUUCCUUUAAUGUCAGAAUGUAUCCUCUUAAAUGUCUUUUUGCUUAUUCAAUUGCUCAUUAUGUAUCGGUUAUUGUUGUCUGAGCAGGAUUCUAAAGCACAAGUGACAGCAAUUCACUUAAUCAUUGGAACUCUGCAGCGGAUGAACAUAUUUGGGGUGGAGAACAGGGAUACACUAACACACAAGACCACGGGGGUGGGAUUCUUUCUCUUUGUUUUUAUGUUUGCUUUUUGGAUCCUUUGUACUUUUAGGUAGUUGGAAACCAGGAUUAUUGCCUUUUCUGCUGUUGCAAUUGUAUUACCUCGAAUAUUCGUUUUUCCUUUUGUGCAGUACUCGGCGAAACUUCUAAAGAAGCCUGAUCAGUGUAGAGCAGUCUAUGCAUGUUCACAUCUCUUCUGGAUUGAUGAUCAGGAUGGAACAAAGGACGGUGAAAGGUAUGAAUUCAUAAAUUUUGUUGCCUUUUUUUAACAAAUUGCGGGAAUGUUCUGACAAAAUUUUUUAACAAGGUGUGAACUCAUGCGUUAGCUCUCUUGUGCAUCUGCAAAUUUUUUUAAUAAAAGAUUUACUUGCCAUUGCCACGUUCUAGUCUCCAUAUUUGUUUACCUAAGCUUUUACUCCGUAUGUAGAAUCUGCUAGUCCUAAUUUUAGGCUCAAUUGCGGGAAUGUUCUAACAAAAAUCACAAUUUUCACUCCUCUUCCCCCUCUUGUUCUUGCCAUAGGUCAAUGAGGUGAAAUAUUGAUUACAAAAUUUUUUGGGGCGAUAUGAAAAUCAUGAUUAUUUGUUUGAGGCUUCCUGAAUUUUGUCAACCCUUUAUUUGUCAAGAUUAUAAUGUUAAUUACUGCUCAUACUUGUAAAAAUUAAAAAUCAACUAAAGCACCAGUUCUCGUUUUUUUUUUUUUUUUUUUUUUUGAAUUUGCUUAUAAAGCAAACUGAACAACUUUACAUAUCAGUCCCAUCUUAUGCUUUUGCUCGUGCUUUAUCUGAAUUUAAAUAAUAUUAGCAAAAUGUACAUAACUUUUCUCUUCAAGCUGCUACUGAUCUAUCACCCGUGCUUUCACUGAAUAUAAAGAAUAUUAGCGGAAUAUUGUAAACUUUUCUCUUCAAGCUACCGCUAAUCUUUCUUUUGUUCCAGGGUCCUACUUUGCUUGAAGCGUGCGUUGAGAAUUGCGAAUGCUGCUCAGCAGAUGGCUAAUGCUACAAAAGGCAGCAGUGGAUCUGUUGCACUCUUCAUCGAAAUACUGAACAAGUAUUACUGCCCAACAAAAUCUUUAAUUUAGGGUUUGUUUGCAGAUUCUGCUUUUCCGGCCUGGAAGCUCAUUUUAGCUUACUGCCAUUGCAAUAGCUUCCGAUACCUUUUAAUUGCCUAACAUUGGUUGGCUGCUGGUUCUUGAAGUGGAGAAAUCUUUUCAAGAAACCAUGCCACAUUUAGCUCAACAUAUGGGCGAAAUCUUUCCAAGAAGUAGAGAAAUCUUUUCAAGAAGCCAAGCCUGACUCUUAAUUUAGGCACUCCGGUUCUAGAAUUUGUUAUAUAUUGUAAUUCCAUCUCUAGAAGUUGGAAAAGUCGGAUGUUCGUUGCCUUUUGCUGUAAAUAACCUUUCCUAAGCCUGUUUCAAGUAAAUGGAAAGUUUGAAAUUAGAAAGUCAUUUUAAAAAUGGUGUAAAACAGUUUUUCUUUGCAGCAAAAAUUACAUAUUCUUUUUUCUCCAGCGGUUAGCUUUAAAUUGCAUCAUAUAGGUUCAUUGAAAUGUUUAACUAGAAAGUCCUAGAAGGUCCAGAGACCAAGUCAUGAUAUCGGGAUAGUAUGGGAACUGUCAAUACAUUUUACGUCCAAAAUAAUCCAUCAUGGGACAUAUCCUAGGAAACUGAGUAAUUUGCCUUUACAGGUACCUAUACUUCUUUGAGAAAGGAAAUCCCCAGAUCACGAGCUCAGUGAUUCAGGGGCUGAUCGAAUUGAUCACAACCGAGAUGCAAAGCGAGAAUGCGACGUCCGAGCCAUCUGCCGAUGCUUUCUUCGCAAGAACUCUGCGAUACAUCGAGUUCCAGCAGCAGAAAGGUGGAUCUGUAGCUGAAAAGUAUGAGGCCAUCAAGGUUAGUUAAUUCCUAUUUUUUCUGAUUUGAGCUUCGAGGAUGCAGUCAUAAGUUCGAUCUUUUCUCAGUUAAUUUGGGAACUGCUGGUAUCUGUUGUAAGAAUCCAAGAGUAGCAUUUUGCCGUAGUUUUGAUAUUCAGAGGGCCUCAGAACUCAGAAGCUAUACUGUUGUGCAAACUUCAUUGUUUGGACAUAAGAUUUUUGGUAAUAAAGUGUACUCACAGUUGUUGAUGAGUUUUCUGAUGCUUGCUAUCAUUAAUAAGUGUUCGGUUUGAUGCAAGUGUCCAUUGAUUUGGUAGUUCGAUAUAUCAUUGUUUGGGGUCACUUAAUACUUUUUUCGGUUACGAUCGAACUGAUGACAUCGGGCUUACAUAGCAAGCAUGGACUGUUUCCGGAGCUUGCAGUUCAGGCAUCUCGUCGACUUCUCUGGUAGGGCGUGAAGUCGGGAUCGAGCGAAUCGUGAGUGUCCUUCCCAUUAUAUCAAACAUGUCUAGCUAUUUAUUUAGAAUAAUUGUUGAAUUUAACCAUCAAACUUUGUAAACUUAGGUUUGCAUACGGAGUUAUCUGUGAGUAACACAGUAGAAUUAUAUAAAUCUGAGUAAAACUACUUAAUAAACUAUCAAUUUAGAUAGUAAGUAUAGAAAACAUAGGCCCUCUUUUAUCUAAAUUUUUUAUCUAUUUUUGGGGCUGCAAAUUAAAUAAAAUAUUGAGAUGUAAAAUAAUGUGAUAAUAAUAUGCCAACUAGUUUUAGUAAAGUUUUACAAUCAAGUUUAUUAAAUUUAAAAAUUUGUAGAUUUAUUUGAGAUGAUAAUAGAGUGCAAGGUGAUAAUUGGUGCAAUUCUUAGCGCACGCCGUAAUUGAGACAGAAGCUAAAAUACAAAAAAAGGCUUUCUGUUAUUUAGCCAGGGUAUAAUAAACAAAAGAAAAAAAAAAAAAAAAAAAUCUUGUACACUCGAGAAGCUCCGAAUUGGAAAUGAGAGAAACGUGCGGGAAGCGUCACAGGGCAUGAGUCCGAACGACAGCGACGUGCACCGACGCGAAUUUCAUGCGCGGCAGAAAAAGCAAACACGAGUCCCGCCAGCCAGCAUCUUUUCUCCGCACCAGAGAGCUUGCUGGCGUCUCGCGACGUCGGUCACGGAUUGAGAGCUCCCAGGUUUCGUCUUAGCAACGCACUAGCUAUUUUUGUAAUUCACGGCACGUAUUGUUUGAUUUGCACAGUAUGUCAAUUUUAACAGUGCGGUAAUUAUACAAUCAUGCAAAAAUAUAACGACGGUGGUUGGUUGAAUAGUAUGAUCUAACGGGCGAAAAUAAUUGAAAAAAAAUAAACUUAAUGGUGGAAAACUUAAAAACAUCAAGUGCCUAGUAUUUUUACAAGCGCUAUAAUCAGUCUCUCUUUCUCUAUAUAUAUUUAUAGAAUUAGGCUAAUAUACUAUUAAUAGUUGAAUUGAAAUACUAUCAGUAACAAAUGAACUUUAUUACUUCUGUUUUUUUUUUUAAUAAUAAUUUGUAAUUUGACUAUCGGCACUAUUGAAAAGGAUAUAAACUAUUUAAACUAUCUGAAAAUUAAAUUUUAUACUUCUUGAAUAUUGUUUUCUUGUCUAUCGAGUGGACACAAAAAUGAACAGUUAAAAAUAAAUACUUUUUAAAAAUUAAUAAUAGAAAUCUUGUGAUCAAAACCAAAAUGUUAAAAAUAACCACGUAUGCAUGGUAAAAAUGUUAUAAAUAAACAUGUACAUUAUUUUAUUCAACUAUAUCAUGUGAAAGCAAUUAUUCCUCAAAGAGUUGGGGGCAUGGGAAGCAUGCAUUAAACACUAUUAUAUGUAAUGAAUUUAAACAAGCGGAGAGCACUAAAAGAUUGGGUUAAUUUCAUAUAGGUCCGUGGGUUAAUUUCAUACUGGUCCCUAUAAAUAUGGUGAAUACCAAAUAUAUUCCUACAAAGUUUAAUUUUCAUAAGUUAUUACUGCAGAAGUCCUAAUAUAUUCAGAUAUAUCACUGCCGUUAAUAUUCGUUAGAAAAAUCUAGUUAAUCACAAUUAAAAUACUUAAAUAUGAUUAAUUAAUAAUGUGAAUUGAUAAAUUUACUUUUUUUCUUCUUCCUCUCCUUCGUAUUCUCCUUUUCUCCUCAUUACUCUUCAUCUUCUUCGUCGUCGUCGUCGUCGUCGCCGUCGUGGUGCCCGCGUGGGCCAUCGUCACAGGCGCCUCUGACGGCAUUGGCCGCGCCUUCGCCUUCCGCCUCUUCCUCGUCCUCGUUGGUUGCAACCCCGAUAAGUUCUGCAAGGUCGCCGACGUCGUCGUCGUCGCCGUCCGCUCCGGCAGCCUGAAGAGGAAGAGGAAGAGGAAGAGGGAAAUGGCAAACGUGUCAACUGUUAAAAAAUUAACAGUUCUCUAACGGAUACUAGCAGGAGGGACAUAUCCGUAUACAUUAGGAUAUUUGGAAGAAUAACUUAUAAAGUUGAACUUUACAUAAAUAUAUUUGCUAUUCACCGUAUCCGCGGAGACCCGUACAAAAUUAACCUUAAAAAGAUUAGAGGCCCAACCAAAAAGAAAAUGAGAAAGGUAUAUAAAAAAAAGAAGGAAACAUCUAAAAAUGUUAACCAAAAAAAAAAAAAAAAAAGCAGAAAAAGAUGGAAGUGCCCCGAUCUUCACCAGAUCUCACGAUCUCAGCCGUGGAAAACUUCGGUAGAGUCAUGACUCGGCAGGCUGGACCAGACCUUAACGAUUGACGUGACACCUGCUUUCCGGGAUUCAUUUAUUCUAAAAUUAGCUCGCUCAAUCUUUUUAAAAUUUUGGAUCUAGUCAGCAUCAAUCAAAUGAUGUGAAUCUUAACAGACUUUAUAAGGCGCUCCGCUCUACCGACAAUAAUAAUAAGCCGAUAAGCCGCAUUUCUGUCUGCUGUAUGGUCAUGGUUCAGUCACGAUUAAUUUUAUAUUUUCAGCUGGUGAUUAAUCUUUUACAAAUCUCUAACCUCGUACAAAUCUCUUAACCUGUCAGCUUUAAUUACCGUUCAAAAUAUUGUAGUCAGAUUAAGAAAUUUAAUUCUACUAUACCUUAUAUAUAGAAUUACUUUAAAUCCUGCGGGUUUUUUAUUCUAAACAAAAAUAAAACUUUUUUAGGAUAGUUAAGCGUAACAUUUUAAACUAUAGAAUAACAAAAUGAGAAUAUAAUAAACCACGGGAGAGCAAAUUGAAGCCUACCCUUAGAUAAAAAUAAAAAAAAUUAACUAAUUAUUAUUUUUAUGCAAAUGUAGUAAAAAUUUAUGAAAAAAAUUUAUGUGAAAGAAUUUUAUCAUUUUUUAUAUAGAGAGGGUAGUAAGUCGAAAUUCAUUAAUUCAAUUUGACAAUUUCGUUUCAACUAAAAUCAUAUAUAUAUAUAUAUAUAAUUGAGCUAGAAUAUUUUUAGAAGUACCAAUCUCUUGGUGCUUCUAAGUUUUUAGUUCUUGGAUCUACUUCUUGAUUACUAAUACCUCUUGAAUCAAACACUAUUACAUCUACCACCACCUAUCACAAUUAUCCCAAUCCUCUAUCUCUCCAUCUAAAGACUAAAAAUUCAAAAGCACAACCCUUUUGAUGCUUUUGAGAGUAUUCUAGCUCAACUCUAUAUAUAUAUAUCACACCCUAAUUAAAUUUUCCAAUCACCGUUUAAUCUUUCUUUUACUCUUUUUUAUUUCAAAAAAUGAUACUCUUUUUUUUGGCACUUCUUCUCAUUGUGCUAAGUACUCGGAGGAACAAUCAGACCCAAUUAGGUAGUUAUAAGUUUUCUAGUUUCCAAUUAACAAGACAUGCAUCUCCGGCGAUGGCGGAUUAGGGAUUAAAGAUAUGGAAUCCAUGAAUUUGGCUCUUCUAACCAAAUGGUGGUGGCGCUUCUUCAAUGAGCCUAAUCUCCCUUGGUGCAAAUUAAUCAGAACUAUCUACUAUACCAUAAGAAGGCCACUGCACGAGAGCUUAGCCUUUGUCCCACACUUGCAGUGGUGGAAAGGCGUGCUCCGCUGCCAUGAGAUCUUCACAUGCGGUAUAACCUAUGAGCUAGGUGACGGACAUAACAAUAGGAUAUGGCCUGAUAUCUGAAUUGGCGAAUCUCCCCUUAGCACGCUCUUUCUGGAUAUUUUUGCGAGUAUCACAAACAAGGAUGCCUGAUUGUCCCAGUGCUGGAACGCAAAUGGGUGGCGAUGGCGGUUCAUUUGUCAUGGUUUCGCGGCGUCCCGAUCCGCCGAAAGGCGCGCUCAACUGACGGAGCUCAAAGACCUGCUUCGACACUGCUACCUACGCAACAAAUCAGACUCAUACAAAUGGCGGUGGACUUCGAAUGAACUUUUUAUUGUCAAGUCCCUCUACCGGUUCAUCACUGACGCUGGACAGUUAAACUAGACGAACAACGAAAUUUGGAGGCUGAAAAUUUCAAUCAAGGUCAAAGUCUUUACCUGGCUGCUGCUUCGGAAGAGACUACUCACAGCCGAUAGAUUGCUACGCCGGGGCAUGGUUGUAGACCAACACUACGUCUUUUGCGCUGUGCUACUUGAAAGCUGCGACCAUCUUUUCUACACUUGCGUCUUUGUUCGUUACCUACUCCUAAGUGUAGGCGGUUCACGAAUACCUAGCGACACCCCGGGCGACGUCCGCAGGCUCUAGACAGACACCUCUGCUAUUUCGGCCAAUUUGACGGGAUCAAAAGGCCUCAACCUUCUAGCCGCGAUCUGGUGGGUGGUUUGGAGGGACAGAAAUAAUUUUGUGUUCCAGGCAAUACCGACCAACGCUAGCCGCUCACUUGAACGGGUUAACCUUUUGAUGAGCAACCGGACCACGCUGCACUAAUGUGCCGCUAGUCUACUAGUUUUCUUCCCUAUCUCCCUCUCCUUGCCCCUUUUUUACUUUAUUCUUCUUGGCUUUCUUCUGGUACUUUAUUCCCUGUCUUCGAAGGCCUUAGUUGCUUCCAUCAUGUAUGCUCAGUUUAUUUUACUUACUGAAUGAAGCAAGUAGCUUGCUACCUUUUUCUCAAAUUUUUUUUUUCUAGUUUUAUUUUUACAAGAUUAAUUUAUACUAAUAAAAAAUAAAAUCAGCUAAGUUGAUUUUAAGUCAUUUGAUUUUAAUAUGACUUGAUCAAUAAUUUUCAGCCAGUUUGAUUAAAAUCAAACUGGUUUAUUGAUUUGAUGAUUGAAUCGUCGAUUCGAACGGUUUAAAACGAUUUUUUCACUUAUUUGAUUCAAAAGAUCAAAAGAAUCACUUUAUUCACUUGGUUAUAGUUGUACCGAACCGGUUAGUUCGAUCCAGUUUUAAAAUCAUUACGUUUGAGCCCUUUAGGGUGUUUGUUAUUUUAUAAAAUAGUGAAUUACUAAUUUUCAAAAAAUAAAAUUUUCUUGAAAAACACCUUUUUUAUAGUCUUUUUUUUUUCCAUAUAAAAAUCUAGAGAUAAUAUUUUCUUAAAAUAUGAAAAAAAUAAUUUUAGAUAAAUUAUCUUUUUACAGAAUCAAGCGGACAAAAAAUACUUUUCUAACGAGAAAGCAACUUUCAAAAAUAUUUUUCAAAAAAUCAAACAACUUAUUAGCUUUGUGGGUAAUAUCAAACCGCCUUCUGAAAUUAUAGAGUAAGAAACCCACAAAUAACUUCAAAAAAAAAAUUCUAUUUUUUUUAAACCUUUCGAAGUAGCAUGAUCAUUAAAUAUUAACUGUUUCUAACGUAAAUGACAAAGGACUUAAGUUGAUUCAUAUUUUCAGUUAAAUUUAUUUUUAAAAGAAACAAACGAAACCGCAUACUAUUUUUCUUUUAAAAAAAAAAGGUAUGAUCAUGCAAAUAUUUAUUUAUUUAUUUAUUUAUUUAUUUUUUUGGAAGUUGAUGAUCAUGUAUGUAUGAAAAAAAAAGGGCCCAAUUGUAAAUGAAUUAAAAGUUUAUAUUAUGGUAAUAAUAACUGCACAUAAUUUAAAGCUCAUAUAGAGUCAAAUGUGAGUCACAGAGCUACUUUACUUUUGAUUUUCUCAAAAUAAAUUAAUAUUUCACAUAGUCCACAUCAUCCUCCUCUCUACAACCUUCUAACUUUACUUUAAUCAAAAUGUGUUGUUCCCAUCAUCAUAAGUGGAAAUUAGUGGGCUUAUAUAUACACUUGGUUUCAUGCGCCAAAAGCUAGGGAAGUGAUUCUCCACAUAUUUUCAUAGAGACCCUCUCAAUUAUGAGCAAUUUGGAACCACAUCCCUCCUUUCUUUUUUUUUCUUUUUUUUUUUGUAUUGAGACUCUUUAAUAAACUCUUGAAAAUUUUUAUUUGCAUUAUCUUUUAGUUAAAUUAAAUUAUACAGGAUGUAAAUCAUAUACCCUAUCCAUUCAAAGAUUAAAAUUUACUGAAAAAAUUCAGCCCUUAAAUGAAUAGUUGUAAAAUUCAUACGUUUGUAAUACUGUAAUAGAAUGUGCAUAAAUUAUUUUUUAAAAGUUUGUUAUAAUCAAAUUUAUUUAUGGGAUAUUUAGUUUUUGUCAUUAUUUUUCUAUUUGUUUAGUUCCCAAGAGAAAUAGUGUUUUUAUUUUUCAAAUAUUUUAUCCAAAAAUAUAACUCUAGAAAAUAUUAUUAACUAUAAUUUUUUUUUGAAAAAUUAGGUUUUUGGAGUUUUUCCAGAAACCAAAUACUUAAUUAGAAAAACUUAAGGACGGCGACAAAAUAUUCAUAAAUGUUUGGUGCUAAAGUGCACUUUAUUGUCCUUGUGUUCCGUUUUGCUUUUUUUUUUUUUAUUCCCCUUCAUCAUCACGCAUAAGUAGAGACGUGGAUGGGUACGAAAUCUGAAAUUUUAUCUAAAUUUGAAUUUAAACGAAACGAAUUUAAACGAUGCUAAAUGAAUAUAAUUUUGAAUGCAAGUAAAAAAAAUAAAAUUUUGAUGAAUUUAUAUUGGAGUAUAGAUUUUGUCUAUACUCGGUCCAAAUCCGAAUCUGUAUUGAUUUUAUAUUAUAUAAUAUAUAUAAAUAUUUAAUAUUAUAUGUAAAUUUAUAUUUUUUAAAUUUAAUUUCAAUAUAAUAUUUUAAAAUAUGAUAGAGAAAAAUAAUUAUUUCGGAGUCAAAUUUUCAUAUUCAGAUUUUUGGGUUUGGAUAUAAAUUUUUAAAAUCCAUCAGAUUCGAAAUUGAAUUUGGAUUUGAGUUUCUAAAAAACUGCCCGAAUCUCGCCCGCUGACAUCCUCACACAUAUGUAGGGCCAACGGGUUGGAUUCGAGAUGGAUUUUUAAAUGCCUGAACCUGAACCUGAAUCCGACUAUUAAAGUCAAAAUCCAAAGUCGAAUCCGCAUCCGGCAGAUUUUAAAAAUCUCUAUCCAAAUUCGAACCGAUCAAAAAUCCAAAACUUGAGCCCAAAUAUUCGAAUCCGAAACAAUUAUUUCUCUUUACUAUAUUUCAAAACAUAUUAUAUUAAAUCUAAAAUUUUAAAAUAUAAAUUUAAAUAUAAUAUCAAACAUACAUAUAUAAUUAAUUUUGAUUCGGAUUCAGGUUGGAUAUAUACAAAAUUCAGAUCCGAAUUUGGAGCUGUCGAAAUUAUAUACGAAAUUAUUUCAGUUUAGUAUCGAAUAAAUUCGCUCCAUUUCUAUUUGGGUUCUAAUAAAAUUUCGUACUAUCACUACCCAUUAACAUCCCCACUACGCACAUGACAUCCACUUUCUCUCUCUCUCUCUCUCUCUCUCUCUCUCUUAAAUACACUCCCUAACAACAAUUCUUUCCCUCUCAAACUCUCUCUCUCUUUCUCUCUCACUUACUCUCUCUCUCUCUCUCUCUCUCUCUCUCCUACCCUUCUCCCCUCUCUGUUUUAGAACCUUAUUAAUUUACACCAUUACUACAACAACAACAGCAACAACAAACAACAAUAACUCCUCUCGUGUGUAUAUAUAUAUAUAUACAAGAAAUUAAAAGCCCCUGGAAUAAAAUUUAAUUUAUCCGAGAAUGGGGGAGGCGGUGGAUAAAGAUCCCUCCUUAGAAGCCGUCGUUAAAGAGGCCGUGGAUUUGGUAUUCCUCUUCUUCUUCUUCUUCAUCACUUCAUCAUCUUAGUAGAAGGGUGUUAAAUUCAAUUUCAAAUUUCAAAUUUCAAAUUUCAAAUUUCAAAUUUCAAAAUUCAGAUUUGAGAUUUUUAGGUUUUUUUUUUUUAAAAAAAACAAAAAUCUGUCUGGCAGGAGAACAUUCCGUUGGAGGAGGUGUUCGAGAACCUUCGAUGCGGCCGCGGCGGGCUGACGUCGGCGCAGGCCCAGCAGCGCCUCGCCAUCUUCGGCCCCAACAAGCUCGAGGAGAAGGAGGUCUGCUUUUUUUUUUUUUUUUUUUUUUUUAUUUCGGUAACAAACUUAUCGAACUUACCUGAAAUAUCGACCGUAAAAUUUUGAUUUUACUAUCCAAUCUUUCAAUUUAUUUGAUUUGAACUUUAAAUUUAAACUAAUUACUUUAAUAAUGAAUUUAUAAUUACUAACUAAAAUCUGUAAAUAUAAAUGAAAAAUUCAAAAUUUGAAGUCAAAAUAUCGCCGACGGACUUAAAUCAAACAAGUUGAUAGCUAUAUAUUUUUUACUUUCUCUUUUUUAACAUUUGGUAAACUUCAAUUUACCCUGUAUUUUUUUUUUGACUUUGCUAUCAUGUGGUUCAAUCAAAAAGUUGCACUUAACUAUCUUAUAGUUUUAUUUUCGUUUCAACACAAAAAAAAAAAAAAAUCUAUCGUUAAAUAGGAUAGUUUAGUAAAAUUUUUAAAAAACCGCGAAGGUGGUACCUUGUUCAACAAUGGGUUUUUAUAGUGAAAUAAAAAUAAAGUUAUAGGGUAUUUAAGUGUAACUUUUUGAAUCACUGGGUUGCAAAGUGAAUAUGACCUAUACCAAGGGGGCAAAUUGAAGUUUACUCAUUUUAUUUUUGUUAGAAAAAAAAAAGAGGGGAAGGGCUUGGGUAGGAAGAUAUGGAGGGAAUCCUCUAGUUUGGUAUUGCAGUUAGGGAUGUCAAUGGGUACGGAUAUUCAAAAUUUUAUCCGAAUCUGAACCUGAAUGGAGCGGAUUUACCCGAUGCUAAACGGAUAUGGUUUCGAACAUAAAUAUCAAAAAUAAAAAUCUGACGGAUAUGAAUUCAGAUAUGGAUUUUGACUCUACCCGACCCGAACCCGAACCUGAACCCAAUCCGAACCCAAAUUUAUUUUACAUUAUAUAUAAUAUGUAUAUAAAAAUUUGAUGUUAUAUUUGAAUUUGUAUUUUAAAAAUUUAGAUUUAAUGUAAUAUUAUUUUGAAAUAUUGAAAAGAGAAAUGAUUGUUUCGGGUUCAGGUUUGAGUUUCGGAUUUUUGGUCCAGUUUGGGUUUGGAUAUGAAUUUUUAAAAUUUGUCGGGUUUGGGUUCGGAUUCGGGUUUUGGGUUUGGAGUCGGAGUUGGGUUCGGGUUUUUGAAAAUCCGCCCCGAAUCGGACCCGUUGACAUCCUAACUGCGGUCUUGAAAAAAAGAAAAAAAAAAUCAAAAGCGCUUUCUAUCUUUCUACCACAACGGGAGCCGGAAUUUUAUAUGCUUUUGGCUCCGCAAGCCCGAACUAGGCCUGUAUUAUUUUUGUUUUUUUUAUUUGAAUUGUUUGGGUUGGUUUAGUUGAUAAUUUGUUAAAUUUAAUGGCUCUGUAAUCUUAUAAAAUAACGAGAAAAAUGUGUGGAGACACCCUCAAUUAGAGGCCAUUAUGAAAUGUGCCCCUCAAUUUUAUGUCUCUUGAUUAACAUUUCCUCAAAUUUUAACCUUUUUUGGGCAUUAAGUGGUGUCAAUCAAACGUAAGUAAAGUUCAGAGACCUAUUUCAAAAUCGCCUAUAGUUGACGUGUUCUUAGUACAAUUUUUUAUUUUUUCUUUUUGGCGAAUUAUGCAAAAAAGGAUCUAGUGGAUGUAUGAAUUGUUAGUUUCAGGAGAAUGAAUUGUGGUGUGUUUGUGUUUGCUGCAGGAGAGCAAAAUUUUGAAGUUCUUAGGGUUCAUGUGGAACCCUCUGUCUUGGGUUAUGGAGGCUGCGGCAAUCAUGGCCAUCGCCCUCGCCAAUGGAGGAGUAAGACCCCGAACGAGACCGCAAAAUAUCCAUUCAUUUUGUUUCUCCUUUUUGGAAAACGCAAAUAUGUACAUUCCUGCUAAGUUUGCAAAAAAUUGCAUUUUUCCUUAAAUUUUUAGUAAUCUGAUAUUAGACUAAACAUUUAAAAAAUUUACUAAUGUGUGACUCUUUAAGUUGACUAUUAAAAAAAAACAACUUUUCUUGUAAAGAUGGUUAUUUUACCCUUGAAAAACAUUUCUUUUGAAAAGCUUUUACCACAUCUGUUGUCAUGUCACACGAACGUUGAAUCCUAAACCCUUUAAAAACUCUUCAAAAGAUAAUUUUUCGAAGUCAUAACGGUCGUACCAGUGAAAUACUAGUGGUUAACUGAAGUCGACAAAUGGAGACGAAUUUUCAAAGUUUUCAAAUUUAGAGGCAUGUAUUUGAUAACUCAAAACUUUUGAGAGACAAAUGCCAAUGCAACUGCUUUGCAAGAAUAUGUUGACAAUUUGCUCCCCUUUCUUUGUUCUAUCAAUUUUCGCAAUAUAAUUUGCUUGAAAAGUUUGAUUACUUCUUAUUGAGGGAAUAGUUUUUGAGUUUUGAUAUUUGGUGUUCUUUAAAUCAGGGGAAGCCACCAGACUGGCAAGACUUUGUGGGUAUUAUUACUCUCCUUGUGAUCAACUCGACAAUCAGCUUCAUCGAGGAGAACAAUGCUGGCAAUGCAGCUGCGGCCCUCAUGGCUCGGCUCGCUCCCAAAGCAAAGGUUUUUAACACUUUACUUUCCACUUCUCAUUCUUGAAUUUUGAUUUACUCAAAAGUCCUCCUCUUGUGUUCUGAACAAAUCUUAGCCAAAGUCAUAGAUUGCAGGAAUAAGUAGCAAAGAUUUUUGCAAACCAAAUCCAUUUAAACCCAAAAAAAUAAACAAAUCUUGAUAAUUUGAUCUUUGUUCCAAAUUGCUACUUUUAAUGCAGGUUCUUAGAGAUGGGCGGUGGAAUGAGGAGGAAGCAGCCAUCCUUGUUCCUGGUGACAUUAUAAGCAUCAAACUCGGAGAUAUCAUCCCUGCCGAUGCUCGUCUUCUUGAGGGCGAUCCGUUGAAGAUCGAUCAAGUAUUUUCCUUCAUUACUUUCAUCCAUAAAUUUAUGGUUUCAACAUCUUUUGCUUUGAAUAACUCCGCGGUUUCUCGCUCUCUUUGAUAUCUUUUUGUAGUCUGCUCUUACUGGAGAGUCAUUGCCGGUCACCAAAGGACCUGGUGAUGGUGUCUAUUCUGGUUCGACAUGCAAGCAGGGCGAGAUUGAAGCUGUAGUAAUUGCCACUGGUGUUCAUACUUUCUUUGGAAAGGCCGCACAUCUUGUCGACUCCACCAACCAAGUUGGUCAUUUCCAAAAGGCAAGCUAGCGAAAUCUUUUCCAUUGCCUGUUUCCUCCUUUGAAUUUUGAAUUCUUUCUUUUAUUUAUUAUUUAUUUAUUUUUGGCUUUCAGGUCUUGACGGCUAUUGGGAACUUCUGUAUAUGUUCGAUUGCAAUAGGAAUGUUUGUGGAGAUUAUAGUUAUGUAUCCUAUUCAGCACAGAGCCUAUCGUCCGGGAAUCGACAAUCUAUUGGUUCUUCUCAUUGGAGGGAUUCCUAUAGCUAUGCCCACUGUUUUGUCCGUCACAAUGGCGAUUGGGUCCCACCGCUUAGCUCAGCAGGUUUGCUUGGCCUUGUAUUUACAUUCCAUAUCAUUCUUUUUAAUUUGUUUAUGAGGGUAAAUGUGAUUUUUUCUGGGAUUCCAAUAACAAUUUGAAAUGAGUUCCGCUAAUUGUUUGGCCUUGUCGGAGGUUCUGCAGAAUUGACUUUUGAAUAGAAUUGUUCGAAGAAGCAUUGAUAGCUUAGUAGUCUUCUCGAUAUCUUUCUAGUUUAGCAGAAGCAAAAGUUUCAAGCUAGAGCUCUAUGCAGAAACUUUCUGCUUUCUAGAGUAGAGAAGCUAUUGAGAAACCAGGUCAAAUAGGCACUAAAUUUCAUGCCUUGAGUUGUUUAUUGGUUUGUGUAGGGAGCUAUCACAAAACGAAUGACCGCAAUUGAAGAGAUGGCCGGCAUGGAUGUUCUAUGCAGUGAUAAAACUGGAACAUUGACUCUAAAUAAGCUUACCGUGGACAAGAACCUCAUCGAGGUUAGGUUUUACUGGUCUUUUUCUCUAGUAUCCUUUGAAUGCCUUUUCACUUUUUCUUUGGCACAUGCAUCCUAAUAAGUGAAUUUCCCAGGUUUUUGCAAAAGGUGUAACUCAAGAUACAGUAAUCCUUAUGGCUGCUAGAGCCUCGCGACUUGAAAACCAAGAUGCCAUAGACACGGCCAUAGUUGGGAUGCUAGCGGACCCAAAAGAGGUAAUUGUGGCUUUUUAUAUUCUUUAUGCUACCUUUGUAAGAUCCAUACUUCGCACCUACUUGUUAAUAUUGUAGAAUUUUAGCACUUAUUUUAAGUUGGUGAGUCAUCCUAUUUGAGGGUAAGUUGAUUUUGUUUUAUAAUUAGUUUUGCAGAAAGGGAAAUUUCUGUAAAUACGAGGACAUACAGAUACGAAACUAAUAUUCUAAUGCGGGUUAAUGAAAAUUUUCACAUUUUGCAUACACAUAAGCAGAAAAUUUUCUUGGGGGUAUAAGUACAUAAAUAUCUUGUUUAAUAUUUCCUCUUAAUCGUUAUGUUUUAAAGGCACGGGCUGGCAUUCAAGAAGUUCACUUUCUGCCAUUUAACCCAACUGACAAAAGAACUGCUUUGACUUACAUCGACAGUGACGGAAAAAUGCAUCGUGUCAGCAAAGGUGCACCGGAACAGGUAUUUAUAUCUUAAACAUCUGAAUAUCGUUUCACUGGAUCAUUUUUGCACAUGAUUUUCUCUCUCUCGUUCUAACUUUAUUGGUUAUUCUAAUUAAACUGCAGAUUCUCAACCUCGCACAUAAUAAGUCAGAAAUAGAGCGUAGAGUCCAUGCGGUGAUUGACAAGUUUGCGGAGCGUGGGCUUCGCUCACUUGCUGUAGCUUAUCAGGUGGGAAUUUCGUUAGCCCAGUCAUUCAUCUGCUUCUACUUUUUCUGGUGUAGCUGCCAUUAAGUUAGUGCAGCUUUUCCUGGCUUCUGCGAAGAAAAGACUGGAGCUUAUGCUGUGGUCGGAAGCUGAGAUGAGCUUCUGAGCCCCAAAACCAUAGGCUUCAAUUACAAACUUCUGUUUUUGUUGCAGUGGGAAGAAGCCUUUGGAAGUGAUGUAAGUGAAAAGGCUGUUAGUGCUUUUUCGAACAGUUAUUACGUGACAACACUUUUUCGCAAAAACUCCAGCCAAGCCAUACAAACUCGUGCAUUUGAUUUGUGAUUCCUAUUAUGUUGGUGUUUUCAGAUUUUCUCCUAAUGCGCAGGAAGUUCCGGAAGGAAAGAAAGAGAGUCCGGGAAGCCCAUGGCAAUUCAUCGGCAUCCUGCCACUAUUUGAUCCCCCCCGACAUGAUAGUGCGGAAACAAUUAGGAGGGCUCUCAACCUUGGUGUCAAUGUAAAGAUGAUUACAGGUCUAGUUUCUCUUAUCUAAAAAUCUUUUAUCUGAUUUUUAUUUUCAAAGGUGAUUUUGAUUCGUUUAAGUUACUGCUAUGUAAUGAGCUGAACCAGAAUAUCAACUAAUAAUCUUAGUAACUUCUAGUUUGAAGUGAGUUUUGAGCAUUUGGUUCAUAGUAUAUUUGCAUUUAUUAGACCUUGAGGAUCAAUUUCAUCAUUCUGAAUUUCUGAUAUCAAAAUAUCAGACCUCGAAGAUCAAUUAAAUAUUUUGUUUGCCCUAUCUCAUCAUGUAAUGACCCUUGAUAAAAUCAUAGAUUGUACUUUUGCUUAGGUUCUGUUCGACGGAAAACAUGACGAUAUGGAUGUUAUGUGGAUAUAUUCAAAUGACAAAGUGCCGAAUGUAUUGUGGACUGAUUUUUGUCAUGCUAGCUCUGCAUACAUUUGAUUAAUUUUCAGUUCCAUUUACUUACUGAUUCUGUCUAUUUAUCUCCCAAUGGUUUUACAUUGGAAGUUUCUUACUUGACAAUUAAAUUACUUAAUCUGGUAAUAAGUACUGGGGCUUUGUAAUAUUGCAUCAGGUGAUCAACUUGCUAUCGCCAAGGAAACAGGCCGUCGUUUGGGGAUGGGUACAAACAUGUAUCCAUCUUCUGCUUUACUGGGCCAGAACAAGGACGAGUCAAUAGCCGCUUUGCCAGUUGACGAACUAAUAGAGAAGGCUGAUGGUUUUGCUGGCGUAUUUCCAGGUUUUUCAUUCUUGUUCUUCCUUUUUCCCUUCUUUUCCCUCUUUUGUUUUCUUCGCAUAUAUACCCCUAAAAGUUUGUGUAUGAUUGCAUUUUCAAUCACAGGGUUGAUCAUUUUUUCACUCUUCACUUGGUUCAUCUAAUAGGAAUCUAAUUCUCAUCGUGUUUCUUCUUCUAAUCCUAGAGCAUAAGUAUGAGAUUGUCAAGCGAUUGCAAGCGAGGAAGCAUAUUUGUGGAAUGACUGGCGACGGAGUAAAUGAUGCUCCUGCUCUAAAGAAAGCCGAUAUUGGCAUAGCAGUUGCGGAUGCGACUGACGCUGCUCGCGGUGCUUCUGAUAUUGUUCUUACUGAACCUGGCCUGAGCGUGAUUAUCAGCGCUGUGUUAACUAGUCGUGCAAUUUUUCAAAGAAUGAAGAACUACACUGUAAGUUAAUACCAAUGAAUCACUAUCACCAACAACUCUCCUUUUGUUUUGCUUAAUUUGUUCCAUUGCGGUGGUUUCGUUUGUUGCAGAUCUAUGCAGUCUCCGUUACCAUCCGUAUUGUGGUAUGUUUCUUGGCCUUUGAAAUUUGACCACCUAUAUUUCAAGUAAUGUAUUAGAAAUUGCUUUUCUUUUUCCUUGGGACUUACUGAGACAAUGUGAUGAUUCACUGGAAUGUUUAAUCAUAAUAUUACACACCAAUUAAUCGCGAAUAGGAUCACUAUGGUCUUAAUAUGAGGCUUUGAAACCAUUUAGUUUUAAUUCAUGAGCGAAAGUUUCUGUCAAUUUCCUCGUUUUUUAUGAACUUUUAAUAGAAAUCCUGCUGAGGAUUGAUGUGAUAUAUAUUUUUUUUUACAUCCUUAUUGCAUCAGCUUGGGUUUAUGCUUCUCGCUCUGAUAUGGAAGUUCGACUUUCCUCCAUUUAUGGUCCUCAUAAUUGCAAUUCUGAAUGAUGGUAUUAUUUUUCGCCUUCGAAGUCUUUUGAGUUUUAUCGUGACCUUUCUUUUCUCUCUUUUUUUUCGUUUCAUAUGAAGCUCUUUUUUAUUGUUUUAUUUCUUUUCCUUUUUUCUCGGCAUGAGCAGGUACUAUAAUGACUAUAUCGAAGGACAGGGUGAAACCAUCUCCUCAUCCUGAUAGUUGGAAGUUGGCCGAGAUUUUCACAACUGGAAUUAUUCUUGGCGGUUACUUGGCGGUGAUGACGGUCAUUUUCUUCUGGGCUGCGUAUCAGACUGAUUUCUUCCCGGUACCCACCUUGACAUAUUUGAAUAAUCAAGACUGUAAAACAUUUGCAAGAUAAAAUCUUUAUAAAUAUAUUUAACUGGAAGGUCACUUCUGAAACCACUGGUUUUAAAGCUUGUUUGAGAAACUUCUACGACAAUUUUACAUCGAGGCAAAAAGAAACAGCUUAAUGUUGGAGCUGAUUCUUUUUAAGAUCCGCUAAGCCCGCAUGGGCUUCGAGAUCAAGUCGAAAGUUGUUGAGUAGAGAUAAUUGUUCUAAAAAUCUGGCGGAACAUGCUGUGAAGAGUGGAAACUCAUUGUUUUCCUAACCAUUGUUUUUUUUCCCCCUCUUCAGCGGGUAUUCAAGGUCGAAAGCCUUGAGAAAACAGCCCAGGAUGACUUCCGAAAGCUCGCCUCCGCAGUUUACCUGCAAGUUAGCACCAUUAGUCAGGCCCUUAUCUUCGUCACACGAUCCCGCAGUUGGUCGUUUGUCGAGCGCCCUGGUUUGCUUCUCGUCACUGCUUUCUUGGUUGCUCAGCUGGUGAGUUUCUCGACUUUGUUCUUUGUUUUUUGGUUGCAUAUAUGCCCUGGUAAAUAUUCGAAAUUGCAUAAUACCACUGUAAAAUUGGUAUGUGCAUUCUUGCUUAAUUGUGAAUGUUGCCCUGCUGGAGGUAUAUAUGAAGAAACGGUAAGUGCAAGGGUUCGUAUGUGAAGAGAAAAUAAAGUUUCUGAAUAGCAUAUGAAAAUUCGGAUUUUAUGGAUUUAUAUGUAAAUAGAUAAUUUUGUCUGUUUUACUGUUCGAUAACAUCCAUGCCUACAUUCUCCGCAUGCACUGUUGCAGAUUGCUACGGUGAUCACUGUUUACGCCAACUGGGGGUUUGCUGCGAUCGAGGGGAUUGGAUGGGGCUGGGCCGGUGUUAUUUGGCUUUAUAAUCUCGUCUUCUACUUCCCUCUCGAUAUCAUCAAGUUCCUAAUCCGAUACGCUCUCAGCGGGAAGGCGUGGGAUCUCGUCAUCGAGCAAAGGGUAAUUACCGCACAAAUUUAUUAUCAAUAGUAUCUGAAGUUUGAUCUCAACUUUAGCAACAUUCUCAGAGUUUCAAUUUUAACAAUUUAAUCUCUGAAGUUUGUGUCGCGCCGUGUCGUUACUUUGCUGAAUUGCUGAUGCCGGUGUUGUGUCUUUAUUCAGUUAUUGGAAAAAACAAAGGGCUCAAUUGUUUCUUGAGAUGAACUUUAGUGACCAAAUUGUUUAGAUUGAAGCUCAAAGACAUAAUUGAAACCGAGAUCAAACCUGAGGGACUAAAUUGAUACUUAAUACACAUUAAUGCUGCCGAUAUACGCUGCUAAUGCAUUACUGAUGUGGAUUAAUCUCUUAAUGCAGAUUGCUUUUACGAGGAAGAAAGAUUUCGGCAAGGAAGAGAGGGCACGCAAGUGGGCGCAUGCACAGAGAACGCUGCACGGGCUGCAGCCACCCGACACCAAAAUGUUCAGUGAUCGUGCGAGCUUCGCGGACCUCAAUCAGAUGGCUGAAGAGGCCAGGAGGCGAGCCGAGAUUGCAAGGUACGAGAACCUGACCUUACUAAGAUAAAGAGCCCCGACAUGGAGCUUUUGCAGAAGUUCUCUCGGUGGCUCGUAGCUGCAGUAGAAGCAGAAGCGCUCUAAAGUUGGAGAUUGUGCUUUUGCAGUCCAAAAGCUCAUUUUUAGCUUCUCAUCAAUCAUCACAGUGAAAGCUCCAUAAAUUUUGUUUGCGAAAUGCCUAGUUUCUAGGAGCUUCUACUUUCGGAGCAGAAAAACUUUCUGAAAGCUAACAUGAUAUAUAUUUUUGUACGGUGGGUUUUUCGUACUGAAUUUGGCACCGCCGAUUCUCGAUAGCUUUGUUUGAACAUUAACCUCCGUUCUGGGUCGACUAACACUCUCAUAAUGCUACUUUGCGAUUCGCAGGCUUCGGGAAUUACAUACACUGAAAGGGCAUGUGGAGUCUGUUGUGAGGCUGAAGGGCUUGGACAUACAAACUAUCCAGCAAUCCUACACCGUCUGAUCGAGCAUCAGCCUCUGGAUUCAAGUAUAAGCAUAUCUGAUAGAUUAAAGAGAAUUAUGGAACUAAUCUCUCUCUCUCUCUCUCUCUCUCUUAUCUACAUUGACAACAUGGUUGACAUGAACUACAUAGCAUAUGGAAAUAGCUAACUAUGCUUUUAAGCCUUGUUAUUCACAAGUUGUAGACACUGUAAUACGUAGGGAAAUCACAGAUGAUAGAAUAAUUUCUAUGAGUUUAUUUGGCAGCAAAAAUUGAAAAUGUGAUAGUAGUUGGUUUUCAAAAUCUGAUUCUGAGAAUCAGAUUUCUGAUUUCAAAAAUUCAAAAUCAGAAGCAGUUAAAUCUGUAUCUUAAAAUUUGAUUCUAAUUUUGAACUCAAAUUUCAAGUUAAGAUUAUAAUUUUAAAUUUUUUAUUUUAUAUUUGAUUUUAAAUUUAAGUUUAGAUUUUAAAUCUCAAAUUUUAAAUUUUAAAUUUUAAAUUUUAAAUUUUAAAUUUUAAAUUUUAAAUUUUAAAAUGUUAAAUUUUAAAUUUAAGAUAAAUUUAAAUUUUGGCAUUUGAAAUUUGAAAUUUAUUAUUUUGACAUUCUAAAGUUUAAAUUUGAAUUUUAGUUUUAAAAUUUUAAAUUUUAAGUUUUCAUUUUCAAAUUUGAAAUUUAAAAUUUAAGUUUCAUAUUUUAAAAUUUUAAAUUUAUAAUUUAUAAUUCAUAAUUUAAAAUUUUAAACUUUUCAAUUUUAAAUUUACAUUUUAAAUGCAAAUAUCGAUUUUUUUUUUAAAUUUUAGUUCAAAUUUUAAAUUCAAAAUUUUUAAUUUUUAAAGUCAAAUUCAAAAUUCAAAAUAAAACUUAGCAGAAAAAAUUUAUUAUAUGCAAGCAACAAAAAUAUUUUUGCCAACCAGCUUUAUAAAAUUAUUUCAGAAAAAUAAUUUUCUUGUUAGACUCAGCAAAAUGCUUUACAAUUUUUAAUCAAAAUUAAUUGUCCAAACCAAAUAAUAAUUCUGCAAAAACUACUUUUUCAGAAUUUAGGCCAAACAGCCCCAUAGUAUUGUCGACCAGUUUCGUACCAGAAUUCGAGUUCAAGAGCAGGUUCAAAACCAAUUUCUAACAAAUCCUGACCUGAUCCAAAUCUGAGCUUUCACAAUGCCGGCAAAGCAGUAACCAGAAGAGCAACCAUAGUGCAACCAAGCACAAACAGAAAGACACACAGAACCCGCGAAAGCUUUUUAUCAGAACUGAGAAAGAAAUCCGCAUGAAAAGCACGACACAACAAGGUUCUUAUGCUACAUUUCCUGAUUCAGCAAAUCAGCUGGAAAACCCCUCAAAAUUUGAGUCUGCAACAUGCAGAUAUCCCAGAUCAUUCAUUCAACUCUAGCAGUAACUGAGAUGACCGAGAUUUAGUCCUGAUAAGAGAUUUGUUAACCACAAGGUUCAAGUUUGGCGCAUGGAGAGAAAAGUACGAGUUCCUGCUCACGCACGUUUGAAAUUUGAGUAGCUAAACCACUAAGUCACUAAGUAGCUGCUAGAUAUAUGCGCAAUGCUAACUCAUCAACAUCAUUAUUGGAUGUGUUUUGUUAUGCACUCGGCUCACAGAAAACUUAAGUGAUUGUUCAUCUUCUAAGACUGCACCUACUGUUGCAGAUCAUAUAUGCAAAACACAACAACACUGAUCAGCAAGCUAAAACACCCAAAAUUCAACAUAUAAACAGGCCAAAACAUUUAAAAUAGAACAGAAUAACCUACCGAGAUCCAUUGUGAGACGCAGUCCGAAUACAAUCACCAAAAUUGCAUCUCCCUGAAUCUUUAACCUAAUGACAACUCUCUACAAUAAAUGCAUGCGCUCGACAAAAGAAUUCAUCAGCCACCGAUUAAGAGACUCGCCGCAACCCACAAAGCACCCUGAAUUGCCAUUUUCCAUAAAGAACGGAAACCCAAAGAGGCGAAGCAGUUCCUGAACUGAUCUGCGAACCAUCGACGUGCCCGUAACUCUACUUCGCCUCCCCCACCCCGUUACAAUAUCAAUCCUUUGAAACCCCAUCCCAGAAACCAUUAACUGCUUCUGAAACCAAGCUAAUGUUCUCGAUAAAGCAGUAACCGCAGUCCCCUCGGACAUCAAAUGAAGGUUUAUAAGCCAAUAAGAAGAGCUUUUCUCUCGCACUGAAUCUGGGUAAACAUUCCUCUCGGCAGCCACUUCCCACACAAAGCCGGCUUCUUCCUUUAGCCCUGAUUUGUGGAGGAAGUCGAUAACAGAGUCCACGAGCCCCCUCUUACUCUCCCUAUCCUCACUAUGCAUCAAAUCAAAGAAAUAACUGGCAUGGCUCUUUAUAUUCCAGCCGCCCGGCUCGGCAUCGGGCAAGUGAAGAAGAAACGUAUGGGCUGGGUGGCCUGUUAUCGCCAUGAGCUGACCACAUAGGCCCAUUUGUUCGCGGGUCUCAGUGCAACAGCUAAGAAGGAGAGUAUAGGUUUGAAGAGAAGGAACAAGCCCUAAACCGAGCAUUGUUUCAAGCACAUGGUAAGCAUCGGCAAACCGGUUGGCUCUGAGGAAGGUGCUCAAUAAGGAAUUGCAUGUUGGAACAUUGGGCCGGAGGCCCGCAUCAAGCAUAGCCCGAUACCAGGUUCGAGCUUUCUCAACGUUCCCAGCUUUACCCCACAAAUCCACUAACAGGCCGUACGCAGGCUCGUCAGGAACCCAGUCUCGCCUCAUCUCAAGAAAGACGGACUCCGCCUCGUCAAGAUGGCCGCACUGGCCGAGAACCUCCAUGACAAUGCUAUAGGUUAUCUUAUCGGGCCGAAAGCCUGCAGCCUGCAUGUCUCUAUAUAGCUUCACGACGCUUUGGUAAUUCCUCGCCUUCGCUUGAAGAGCGAUCAUAAUGUUAUAAGUCACCAAAUUAGGAACACAACCACGGUCGAUCAUCUCGCAGAAGAGCUUAUAAGCUGCAGCAAGAUGCCCAGCUUUUCCAAGGCAAUUCACCAUCACACUAUAAGUAAAAGUAUCUGGGGAAAGGCCCAUUUCCUGCAUUCUUCUAUACAAAUCCAUAGCAAUAUCUAAAUAUCCGGCUUUUGCAUGGAUAUCAAUAAGUGUGCAAUAAGUAACUCUAUCAGGCUCGUAUCCGGCUUCUUGCAUUUCCUCGAACACUUUAACGGCUUCAUUAAUGUAAUUAGCACGGCCAUAUGCGUGGAUUAGACGGUUGUAAGUUACCACAGUUGGUUGAAACCCAUCUCUGAUCAUCUCUUCCAGAAGCUUUCUCAUAGCACCAAAUUGCCUCGAUUGCCCAAGAAUUCCGAUCAUGGUAGUAUAAGUAUGAUCAUCAUGCCUGAAGCCAGGUUGGGCUUUUAACCACCUAAAGAAACCUAGAGCAAUAGAAUGGUCACGGAGCAAUUUAAGCACUUGAUUCGCUUGAAACGGGUCCAACUUGGAAUGGAGAUUGUUCAAAGCCUGUUCUGUUCCUGGACCCCAUUUUGCCAGCUGCAGUGUGUGGUAAUACUGCUCGACUGUGCGAACCGUGUUCACACUUCUUGUAGGAUUUCGAGACUUACUGAUAGAGCUAAAAUUUCCUGCAGUACUGGAAAGCACUUUCUUGUCCGAGAAGCCCAUUGAGUUGUCUUCUGAAAUGACACUACCUGAAUGAAAUUUCGCUUUUUGAUGAAGAGACUGCCUCUGAUUCUUUGCUUGGGUUUUAAAAGUCCCAGAAGUACUCUGAUUGGCUUUCACAUAAACACCCCUUGAACUUCGAUCCCCAAACUCGCUUUGCAAAUCUGGAUUUGAAUUUGAAUUUGAAUUUGAAUUUGAAUCAGAAGUCGCCACGAUGUUAUUAGAUGAGUUUGGCUGACCUUUGGAAUUGUUUGAUUUGUUGGGCUUGACAUACUGUCCAGUAAUUGGCUUAGAAGAAUGAAGAAUACUGCUUUGAGAAGCUUGAUCCCCAGCUAGAACAUAAGAGCUUCUGCUUUCGGAAAAGCCCGGUUUCAAAGUUGAUGAAGAGGAAAUAAUAUGUGGGGCAACUGAAGGCAGGUAGCUCGAGCUUCGAUGGUUAAUGGGUCCGAUUGCAUUGGCUACGUGGGGACGGGCAGCUUGUGGAGGAGUUUCAGCUACUGAUACAUUGGCUUUCUUUUGCUGAGAAGUGGUUUUUGACAACUGCCUUUUAGAAACACAGGUUUCAUCUUCAGAGCCAGUGCAUGAAGCUCCAUCUGAGCUUCCGCUCCGUGGACCACUGAGAUAGAAGGAUCGCGCACACUGAGUGAGAGUGCUGAGUUGCUUUGUUCUCAACAUUAUCUGCAAUAUAUUAACACCGAGUUAUGAGCCAGAAGAGCUUGAAGGGUGGAGCUUUUAAGCUGUAUAUAUGAGCCCUUUACCAUUAAAAAUUCCAUAAGGAUAGAUGAAACAAAUAUAACAAUAAGUGUCUAUAGCGCGGAACAUCAAGGACAAAAGUUUAAGAAAACAUAUAAGCAAAGUUAAACAACUAAAUGAAUGGCAGAGAUCAUAGAAGUAUUUUUCAAUUUCUAAUAUCCUAAAUUGAGAAAAUUUUUGCUACCUGCCAAUAGUUUUCUUUUAUAAAAAAACUUCGGGUGAUAAGGAACACAAGAAAGACCAACAUAGUAUGCCCAAAGUAGGCAAUAAAAAGAACACUGAACAGUGAUGCAUUAUUACAUCAUAUAACUGUGAGUUGAGCAAUGAGGAUGUAAUUACAGUGCCUCAUGAUAAUAAGAUGAGAACUAUACCAAUUAACACUCAAAACGAGGAAGAUUUUGCUAAAGAAAGCCCAGCCACAAACUUUUACUUCAUCAACUCACGACAGGUGCUAGGUCCAGAACAACCAUAUGAUAUGAAGUGGCUAUCGUGAAAUUCAAGCAAAACUAGCAGCUAAUCAUCAAUUUACAAUAGGUGAAUGCACACAGCGCUUACUGGAAUAACAGAGGAUAUUGAAAUAGGUACCUAAACUUUAUAUUGAAUUUACUACCAAAACUUCCAGUAUAUGUUUGAUUUAAGCACCUCUCCAACAAAGCAAAUGGUAUCUUUAACUCAUCUUUAGGUACUUCGUAACCUAAUUAAAUAUUCCCUCACUUUAUGAAUAUUCUGUAACAUUUUUGAGCUAAACUAUUUCUGACCAAACUUGAUGGAAGAUUUUAAAGUCAAAAGUAAUGACUAAUGAGAGAUAAUGUAGUUAUUUUCCCAUUUCAAAAUUCCCCAUUGUUCAGGUGAGGUCUGUAUUUCUGUACCAUUAAAAUAAGUACAUGGAUUGACAAGGAUGGUUCAAACUCACAAAUACCCAAGUAACUUGAAUUUAACCCAAUAAAAACAAGAUGAAGACCCAAACCAGUUUAAAGGCUGUUGCUGUUUUAAAUCUCCCUGUUACCAAUCAGCUAAAAAAUGUAGGGAUAGGGGCUUUUCAAACAUUAAUUCAGACAGCAAAAAUGUAGGGAUAGGAGCUCUUCAUUGACUGCAUUACACAGAACUCUCUUUACAAAUCAACAGGAACAAGCACAAAAAAAAAAACCCAAAUCUUCUUUAGGUGCUAUCUAAAUUCUGCAUUUUUCCUUUUUUGCACAUUAGAGGGUAAUGACAAUGGUUCAAUUAGACUAUCAUAACCUAAACAUAUAUCCCUUAGGUUGCUAUAUCUUCUUUGUAGAGUACACAAACUUCGUGCAAAACUUAGAAGAUUAUAUUUAUAUUGAAUCCAGUACCGAAAACAAAGUACUUGAAUAGAUUACAAUAUAUGACCUGAGAAAACGUUAAAGGAAAACAUACCCUUCAAGGGUACAAAUGAUGAUAAUGAUAAUAGUGAGGAAAUGAUAAUCAUGACAACACAUGCAGUGAAAUUCACAGUCGGCUGAUCUAAUACUGCACUCUACUUCUAUUAGAAUUCUCUAUUUCUAUUAACUGCACUUCGGACAAAAAAGUAUUUAUAGACUUCCUUUGGACUUUGGAGAAGAGAAGCAUCCGUUUUCAGCCAAAGGAAUUGAAAUAAUAAAAGGACUAAAAAUUUAACUAUCAUAAACUGACAUUUUAGCUAAAAAGACAGGUUUAUUUGUUACUUGCCAACUGACUUGAGAAAUAUACAACUGAAAAUAGUACAUACUGAUAGUGCAAUACGUUCCUAAGGAAUUCUGAGCUAGAUCUUCAGCUGCCAAUAAAUUCCAUGUGCUCCCCCAUGGGCAGACCUGGAACAAAACAUUGAUAAUAAUUAAUAACAAAUAAUUGGGCUAAGUGCUAUUUCCAAAUAAUAACAUAGGCACGUGGUUAUUAUCUAGAGAAAAGGAAUAUGCAUAUUUCUUCAAGCAUGCAAACCAUUUUACAAAGAGAAAAUGCACCAUUUCUUUUAACUCCUUAGUUAAAAGAAACUUAUGGAAGGUCAACAAUUAAAACUCAGAAAAAUUAUUUGAGAGAGUUACACAUGCAUAUCUAGUAAUGCUAGCGGUUAUCUAGCCAGAUGUUGUGAGUAAUAGCAUAUUUUCCAUUUCUAUUCAUUCCUAUGUAAUGAAUCAGGAUAUAAAACUCGACAAGGUAAUUGAAUUCGUAUUCUACUAUCAUAGGAGUAUAUGCAUAACUUGCAAAACUAUCAAAGUUUUUUUCAAUCAGAUAUUACAGUAGCCAAAUAAAAGAUGUACUCAACUUUAUUUUCUUUUAAGGGAUUUCAUACUACUUAAGUCCUACCCAAGUCCUGGAAAUAACUAAAACAAACAGUAAACUACUGCUAAGACAUAAAACAGCCGCUUGCCCGACCCAAUGAGAAAAGAACAAACUUUCCUGGUCACCUCGAUAUCAUUAUGGAAAAUUUAUUUCAAAGAACAUGUUCUUUUGCUAGUUUUUUUUUCCUAAGCACUUCAAAAAAGGAAUCAGAUUAUUUUGAGAAAUUUCAGCUAAUUUCCAGUUGCAAUGUUCUCAUCCAUUAGCUACUGAUUUUAAACAUUGAGUAAAAUCACGCCGGAUACUCUAAAGAGAAACCAUAAAAAAUUACUGAAGUGUCAGCUGCAAUCAACAUCUUACACAAUAAUGAGCCAAAAAAAAGGCAAAUCUGAUAAAAGAUUAGAGCAGCAGAAGUAGGAAAUGUGUACUCAGUACUCCCCACUGUAUGUUUUUACAAAGCCUUAAGACUACAACCCAGUAAUGCAAGAAUAUCACCUGAGGCCAAAAUAUAAACAAGAUUUGCUUCCGAUCACUCUCUUUUGUCUCCAAAUUCUCUUCAACUAAGAUUAGAGGGUCUCCCCAAUAGUCAUAUCCAAGUAUUUUAGCAAAAUUAGUAGUUUACCAACACUGACCGCCAAGAAAUGUUGAUGCAUUACAUGAUAAAAGAUCAAUUUCAGCAUUUCCAUUAAUCCCAAUACGAAAACCCUAGAUAUUAGAGCUUAAUCCCACGAUCAAGAUGAUCCGACUCCAUCAAAAACACAAUCUUCUUCCUCCACCUCUUCUCCAAGAUCCUCAACCUCAAAACACAAAGGAACCCAAAAAAGAAAGGAAAACCCUAAUUUGAGACGCUCCCAAGUCUUCCUCACCUGCAAUUGAAACGAACAGCGGCAUUGAGAUGCGGCGAAUCGAACGGCCGCGGCGGAGGAGGAGGUAGCGGCGGCGGCGGCGGCGGCGGCGGCGAGGGUUUCUCCCACGGAGUGGGAGAAACAAGAGAGAGAGAGGAGAGAGAGGCGGAGGAGGAGACACUACAAAAAAAACCCUAUUUUUUCCCCAUCGACGACUUUUUAGUGUUCUUUUUAGGUUACAGGGGCGUUUUAUACUUCGCGGCUUAGGAUCCUCGUCACCGGAGCGGUGCUAUGCGUACCAACAUAAUUACCCCAAUUGCCGCUGCCGAGCCAUACGUCGCCACGUGGCACACGUUAAGUGGUUUAACAUACUUUGGGGGAGUUUCUGAAGUGUUGGUUACUUCCCUCAAUGAGAUGCCGUAUCUUUGACUUGAUAUUAAGCGGUAAUUAAGUCGACGAGAAGUCUCACGCACUUGAAGAGUACGGUGCGAUGUGAGUGGUUGGGGAUGUGGGACCCGGCGUUCUGAUUGGCUGGAAGAGGGACGGUGGGGUCGGUUGUUAGGAAAGUCGUGGGAUCGCAUUCCGCAGAAAUACGCGAGGGAGCGGGAAACAGCUGAAACGGGAAUAUUUUGUAAACCCUAGCUUGUCGCCCAAGGAACGGCGAGAUAUUAUUGUAGACAACACAACAUUUGGGGAAGUGUUUCCUGGACCCGGUCUACCAAGGCCCAGUGAACCAGGAAUUUUUUACAUGGACCUUAACUGGGAAAUUAUACUUGUACAGUUGUACACCCCAAAAAGGUGCAGAUCACCCGAUCUUAUACCUCCUAUCAUAGAAUUCAUAAAAAUUCAAAUAAUUUUAAUUAAAAUAUAAUUUUUUUUUCUUUUGCAUAUUCUUGUUUUUUUUUAUUUUCUUCUCUAAUUUUCAAAAAUUUAUAUUUUACUUUAUUUCGAAAUUUCAAAUUGAUAUAUUUAGCCACAUUCUGUCAAUAUUGCGUGACUAUUGAGGAAAGGAGUGUUUUCGUUUUACCGGAACUUUUUAUGUUUUAACUAAUAGUGUUAGUUAAAAAAAAUAAUAAUGUGACAAGUAGAAAAUAAUAGUCAUUCGCAGAAGAGGAUAUUAGAUGUGUGUACCGUUACUUCCUUAACUUAACACUUUUGCCUAUUGACAUAUGAACUUUUUUGAUUUUGGUAAUUAAAAAUCUCUAAAUUUUAUUAAAUAGUCGAAUUGGCUUCUAUCUUCAAUCAAAGUUACUAAUGGAACAACUUUUUUUUCAAAAAAAAAAGCUUAAGCGCUACCGUAGAGCAGUGUCUUAAUGUUAUUUAUAUUUAAUGCUUUUUUUCAUAUUUGGGAUAAUGGCGCUUUGAUAUUUUCUGUUCAGUAUUUUUCCUUAUAUUUGACUAGAGAUAUUUUGAUAAAUCUUUGCCGUGAAUUUAAAGUAAAAGAAGGUAAAUUAUUAAACUAAGAAUCUGGUAGAAUUCAAACUCUAUUUCACCUACUAAUAAUAGUGAAAACAGCUCUUGUUCUUUGCAAACUUAGGUUGUAAGAAAAUGAUGUUCCAUUAUUCUUUUAUAUAUAUAUAUAGAGAGAGAGAGAGAGAGAGAGAGUGUGAGUAAGGCUACUAUAUUCAUAAGAGUAUAGAGCCAUUCGUACUCAUAAAUUAUUUUCGAUGAUGGAGCUUCCAAAUCGACGAUCCACUUGUUAAAUAUGAUCUAGAGUAUUUGAAACUUUUAAAAAAUAAAUUUCGUAAUUUUUUGAAAUCAUAUAAUAAAUUCUAUCAAGCGGGCAUAAAAUAAACAAUUAAAAUCGAACGACCUCCUAAAAAUAAAUUAUCGGAUCUUUAAAUUUAAAAUCUAAGUUAUUGAUCUUUAUCUAGAUAGUGAAUAAUAUUUAUAUAAAAAAUUCAAUCUAUUUUAAUUUUUUUGCACCGCUAAACUAGCAAGUAUUCCAUACUGGCUAUUAAAAAUUAUCAAUUUUGUGACCUUUUGAUCAUAAGGCAAAUAAUGUCGAAAUAUUAUUAAAUUUGAUUUCUAACCGUUUUAAAUGCUCUAGAUACAGCCGAUUCGGAAGCUCUAUUAUCGAAAAUGACUUGUGAGUACGAGAGUGAUCAUACUCAUAAGAGUAUAGUAGCCUGACUUUAUAUAUAUAAUUGAGCUCCUCUAUUUUUAAAAGUACCGAAUUAUUAGUGUUUGUAGAUUUUUGGUCUUUAAGUUAAGGGAUGUGUACUUGGAAUAAUAGUAGUUUUCUAAGGGUUGAGUGAGUAUGUGGUUCGUUGAAUAAUAUGAUUUAAUGGAUAAAAAUAAUUAAAAGAAUAAAGCUAAUGGUAAAAAAACUUACAAGUACUAAGUACUUAAUGUUUCUAAAAACACCAUAGCCUAACUAUAUAUAUUGAGUGAGGCUACUAUGCUUCUGGAAGCACGGAGCCUUCCGUGCUUCCAGGUCGUUUUCGAUGUUGCGACUUUGGAAUCGUCGAUCGGUUCCGUUAAACUUGAUCUAGAGUAUUUAAAGUACUUAGAAAAUAAAUUUUAUGAUUUUUUGAUAUCAUUUGCCUAGUGAUCGAAGGGACUCAAAAUCAAUAAUUUUAAUGACCGUGGUGAGCCGUUUGCAAGUUUAACGGUGUAGAAAUAUCCAAAUCACGUGAAAUUUUGAUAGAAAAUUUUUUAUACUAUAUAAAACAAGAUCAAUAUCUUUGAUCUAAAAUUUUAAUGUCAUAUUAUCACGUUUUGUAAGAUUUUUAUUUUCAGCCGUUGAUUUUGAGCCCCUUAGUUCACUAGGCAAAUGAAAUUGAAAAAUUACAAAAUUUAUUUUCUAGGUAUUUCAAAUACUCUAGAUCAAGUUUAAUAGAGCCAAUCGACGAUUCGAAAGUCGCAACAUCAAAAACAACCUGGAAGCACCCUGAAAGCACGAAAGGCUCCGUGCUUCCAGAAGCAUAAUAGCCUCACUCUAUAUAUAUUAACGAUAGAUUUACUUUAUUACUCAAUCCUACUGCUUUAUUAUCAUAACCAGAAGAAAAAUAAAAAAAUAUAUUUUUCGUGUUAUAUAGUUAUAUAAAAUUAUAUACAAGACAUGUGAUCAAAAUGGCAGUUUAAUUUAUACCUUGCUCAAAAAAAUAAGCCAAUUAAAUAAUUUGAUGAAGUUUAAUAGGUCUAGUUGCCAAAAUUAGUAGUUUAGGUAUAUAUUUGCAAAUGCUUUUUCCAUACAUUCUUUCUUUUUUUAUAUACAUUUUUAUUUUUCCGAUGAGUCGAGGGCGCUACGCAACUACGAAUUAUACAUACCCAAGGAUGAAACCAAGGGCACCAAAUUUAAUUUUUAUACUUUUAAAUUUUUAUGCACCUAUUUAUACUUCUUUUCUAAUAAUAAUAAUAAAAAAAUCUAAUAUUCAGUAGUAAUUACCUCAUAGUGUACGAGAAAUUUCAAAAAUUGUAAUGCUUAAAUGGAAAGUGCCUGCACUUACGAUUAACCCAUUCAAAAGAAAACUAAAAAAAAAAAAAAUCAUGAAAUUUAAAUUUAUAAUAUUGGAGCUGUCCAUAGACCCGGUCCAUGACGUGGUCCGCCGCGUUUGUGUCGUACACGUGGGGUGCUGUUUGGCUCGUAAAUUAACUGCCACAAAUUGACGAAACGCACUCAGUGGACCAUGAUCACCACGUCACCCGUGAACCGCCUCAAAAGUUUGCUAUGUGACCCCUAUUUUUCUAAAGCAAAUGGUGUAGUUCAGCAAAAAAAAAAAAAAAAAAAAAAAAAAAAAUUUCAAUGGACACAAAUUUCUAAAUACUUUUCAGCUUUUAUUUUAUAAAAGUUGUAAUGCGCGUGAGAUAUACGUCACAUUUAUAAAGUUUUGCAAGGUUAAAUAAUCAUUCAAAAAAUUAGAGGAAAAAUCUAAAUAAAAAUAGAAAUCAGUGUCCAUUGAAAUUGCAUAAUAGAGUUUGGAGAAUAUUCUAAUCAAGAUUCCUCCCUAUUUGUGUUUGUAUAUGAAAUAAUAAUAAAUAGGGAUAAUUGUCUAUAUAUAUCCUUCAAAACUUUAGAAUAUCUCAUUUAUUCUUUUUUUUUUUCCAAUAUACCCCUCAUAUGUUCCUCCGUUUUUCUAAAAUAUCCCUAUAGUUACUACCCGUUAAAUUAACUUAGGUUAAAUAUGAGUUAAAUAUUUAUUAGAAUUAAAAAAAAUCAAAAUGCCUCUUUUGCUCUUAAUUUAAGGAUAAAUAAGAAAUGUUGGUGAUGAUAGAAGGGUAUAUUUGAAAAGCCUAAAAAUCAAAAUGCUUUUGUGCCCCUAACUUAAGGGCAAAUAAGAAAAGUCGAUGAUGGUGAAAUAGUACAUUUGAAAGGGCAAAAUAGUAAUUUCAUACUGAUAACAGCUAUUGCUAAUAGAAUUUAACUAUAGGAGUAUAUUUGAAAUAGGUUGAAACGUAAAAAUGAUAUUUUCAACAUUAGACUUCUAAAAUAAGUAAAUCAGAAAGUCGAAAACUUUUCAGGAGUAUAUAAGUAAUUAUCUGUAAUAAAUAUAAUGUUGAUUAUUUGGUUGAUUGGGAAAUUGAGAUAUAAUAAAUAUUUUUCAUGAGAAUUAGUUGAUUGAACAAUGGUUGAUCUUUUCUUAUGUAUAAGAGAUUUAUCUAAAAUCCUAAAAUAAGGGCUUGUUUGAACAGUGUCGUAAAAUAUAGUAUUGUUAAUUAUAGCGCUAUUCAGUAAUACUGUACUGCAAAAAUACAAGCACUAAUAUUUAUAUGAAAAUUAAAUUGUCUAAAAUCCAAAAAUAUGCAAGUGAUUAGGUUUACUAUCGAAUAUAAUAUUGUUCGUAUUAUUAAGAAAAGUAUCAUAAAUUUCUCUCCCUGGCAAAAGCUCGAGCUCAUAUUGAAGUAGUUUUUAAAAAAUAAACCUUUUUUUUCCUACAAUUUCGCGUACAGAAAAUUUCUGCACACAAAAUAAACGCACUGCCUACUCAGUUGAGGUGGAAUGUAUCUGAGCCAUAUGAUGGGAACGAUUCGCAUAUGUUCCCACCUCAGAUCACCUAGUUUUGAAUCAUAUCUUACAAAUGAAACAAUAUAUGUAUAAUAUAUGGCAUAUUUAGAUAUUGAUAAAUACAUAGAAAGUUUUAUAAUUCUAACAUAAUUACUUGAGUGAGGAUACUAUGCUAUCGGAAGCACGGAGCCUUCUGUACUUCCAACUCGUUUUCGAUGUUGCGACUUUCGAAUCGUCGAUCGGCUCCGUUAAACUUGAUCUAGAGUAUUUGGAGAACCUAGAAAAUAAAUUUUAUUAUUUUUCGAUAUCAUUUGUCUAGUGAUCGAGUGAGCUCAAAAUCAACAAAUUUCAAUGGCCGUAGUGAGCUGUUUGCAAGUUUAACGGUGUAGAAAUAUUCAAAUUACGUGAAAUUUUGAUAGAAAAUUUUUUAUACUAUAUAAAACAAGAUCAAUAUCUUUGAUUUAAAAUUUUAAUGUCAUAUUAUUACAUUUUGUAAAAUUUUUAUUUUCAGUCGUUGAUUUUGAGCCCCUUCGUUCACGAGGCAAAUGAUAUCGAAAAAUAAUAAAAUUUAUUUUCUAGGUAUUCCAAAUACUCUAGAUCAAGUUUAACGGAGCCGAUCGACGAUUCGAAAGUCGCAAUAUCGAAAACGAGCUGGAAGCACGGAAGGCUCCGUGCUUCCGAUAGCAUAGUAGCCUCACUCUAA
rnacentral:lncRNA from 1 species